rnacentral:lncRNA from 1 species
AAUUUGCAUCCCAUUUCAUGCAUUAGUAAAGAGCCUGAAAUAGAUUUAUAAUGGUAUGAUACAGUAUAUUGAAUUAUGUGUCGUGUAUUGUGUAUAGGUGGUGAGCCUUCUAGCAAGGGGAAAGACUUUGUGUCAGAGGACUGAGAAUAGGAGUAUUUCAAACUCCUGAUACUGUGAGUAACCUUACUAUCGUCUUAAUUAUCUAGAGUGGUUUUUAUCCGAUUUUGUGAUUUUAUGGAAAAUGAGUUUAAAUGGUAAUUUUUUAGGUUUUAUAAACAAAAUGUGUUUAAAUAAAAUGAUUUUAUAAAUUAUCUUGAAAUUGAAUGAUGGCUUUGCAAAUAGAGUAAUUGGAGACCAUUUGAUGUAUUGUGAAUUUAUGGUUCUAAUUGAUUGGCUUAUGACAAUAUUGUCAUGAAUGGCUUGUGUUGAAAUGUAUAAACUGUUGUUUGCCUUGAUAUGUUGGAUAAUCAUAAAAUUGCCAUGUCAUGCUGUUGAAUUUUUAUUGUAUGGUGGGUUUAGCUUGUUGUAGUGAGCUGGUUCUAUGGACCAGCCUAUUAGAAGGGCACGGAACCUGGUCAUAUUCAUACCUCAGUAUGAGAGGCACGGAUGGAUAACUCCUGAGGUUAACACUUUAGAGUUCACUUCACGCCAAACCAACACGUGAGGGUGAACUCAACCAACGCCAAGGAACGACCAUGUUUUCAAAAUAAAAAUAUGAUUUAUGUGUACCUAACUUUUUAACAGCCUUGGCGGUCUCAGUUAGGAUAACACUCGGCCAAGGCAUCCCUGAUAAUUGAGUAUGAAAAUGAUUUUGGCACGAGCCAAAGUUUUAAGAAAUUGAUAAGCCAUGUUGAUUACUUGAUUUAUAUGAAUUGAUUUUAUUUGGUUGAAAUGAGUUAAAAGGUGAUGAAAUACAGUAUGUUAAACUAUUUUAUCUAUCUCCAUUUACUCAACAUUAGAUAUCUUAUAUGGUAUUUGUUUACUCACUGGGAUUGUAUAAUCUCACCACCCUCUUUUCCACCCAUUUCAGGCUCAAGAUAGUCUAUAGAUAGCUGAUUUCAUCGAGGACCACCAUUGGAUUUGCAUCCUCUAAACUGUAGGUUCACAAUCUUUCUUACUUUUGGUUAAUCGAGGGCCCACUUGUUAUUGUAAAUUAAAUUAAAUACUCUGGCUUACUGUAUUACGAUAUAUAUGAAUUUAUUUUACUUUUACGCUGUAAAAAUUAUUUAUGUAGUGUUAUAAAAAUAUUAUUUUAUGAGAAAAUUGAACAUUUUAUUUAAUAUUUUUAUUUUAUUCUAAUUGUCAUAAUUUUAUUUUAAACGAAUUUUUUAGACAUCCAAAUUUAUUUUUGAUUAUGAAAUAUGUGUUUUGCACUCGUAUACUACAUUAUUAGCUGGUUUCGAAAUUUUCGAAGAAAAAUGAUCAAAAUGCCCCUAUGAGAAAAAAAUUAUUUUUCUAUUGUUUUGAUUUGAAAAUAGUUUAAAAUCUUUUAGAACGUGAUAUUUUGCAAUGGUUACUCAUAGGAGAAAUGAGAAGUUGAUAUUAAAGCCUUGUGGGGUUUCGGUUGACAUUCUAGGUAAUGAGUGUCGAUCGAGACAUUGCGAUGGUUGUCACGGGCUCUAGGGGAGUUUCGGGUGGUGACAAUUAAGUUGGUAUUAGAGCUUUUGUUUUAAAGAGUAGAGCACAGAGUUUUUGGGUUUGAAGUUGUUUUAAAAAUUACAGUGUCAGUGUGGCCCAAGAUAAGUUAAGUUAAGUUAGGUUUGAUAAAAUAGAAUACAUGCAUCUACAUGUAGAAGCCUAACCGCCCUUGUGAUGCAUGAAUGAUUAAGUAAUUACUAUUUGGUUGCGUAUAGGUUUUGAGGUGCGCUGGUGACAUACACACCAUGUCUAGGAGUGACUGUAGUCCCGACGCCUCUCAUAGUAUUAGCGAGGGAUCGUUAGAUUCUACUGCUAGGAGCCGAUGGCAACCCGAACCGUGUAGUCCAGAAAGUGCAGAUAGUAAUAAUAUUAAUGUAAGCAUGAGAGAUUCCCUUUUUAGAGAAUCUAAGAAAUAUGCUAAAGAAAGGGGGAAAUUAAGGAUAGCUGAAAGAGGUAUUCGUCUUAGGAAGGGGGUGUCAGUUGUUCGACACUAUCCUCCAUGCUGUGGAAUGAAUGUAAAGGAACAACAAGAAAAGAAUAAGGAGAAAGUAACUGUUGCAAAUUAUCACCUUAGGAAGGUGAACGUUGUACGACAUUUUCCUCUCGGUUGUGGAAGAAAUACUGCACCUGUGAGUUAUGAGGAAUGUACGAGAAUACAACAAGCUUGGAUUGAGGAACAAAGGAGAAAAUCUUAGGAGGAGGAGAACCCGGAAGAGGAUCUUAAGAAGGAUUUGGAGUAGAAUCUUCUGAUAAGAUUAUAUUAAGAUGAUCAUCCCAAUGACAUGUAAUAUUUUCUUAGGAUUUUGUACUACUUUAACUUUAGGUAGAUGUAGUGUAAAGGAGAUAAUAGUUAUCUGUACAAAGAAGUUAAUAGUUUGGCUUUUAAAGUGUAUGACUAGAAUGGAUUAUUAAAAAAAUAGCUGGUUAAAUGACUAGAUGUAUAUGGCAAUCUUUUAGUAUGAUAGGGAUAAACUGGUAAUAUAGUUAUUGAGAAAGGUUAUAGGAGGAAGCAAUAAGGCUAUAAAUGACAUUCGAAAUGGAUAAUGUGAUUAAGUUGAUGAUUGUAAUUUAAGCAUGAAGGGGAUUACGUAGUGAUGCCAUGACACUAUGAGAUAAUAAUUGGGCAUAAAUAUAGCCCAAUAAAGUUAAAUUAUGGAAUAUGGGGAAUAUGAAAUUUUGAUUUAGUGAGGAUUGCGAGAAUAAAGUGAGGAGGAAGCUGAAUUUUUUUCGUAGUUAAUUAUUUCGAAAGUUAAUAAAAUUAUUGGAGUACAAGACAAGGAAGUUAAUUAGAUAGGGAUGACAAUAAAUUUAAGGAAACCUAUAGACAGUAAGCAACUUAUGUGUGAGGUGGUAUAUGUGUUAUGAAUUUAUUGUACCGUACGAAAAUGAUGUUUUGAGGUGGGAUUUUAUGAAGGAUGAUAAAAGUCCAAAGAUGACAUGAGUUGAAAGUAUAAACUUGGCUUAGUGCGUAUGACAAGCAAAGAGAAGGCACCUAUACUUAUGGAACUCAUGAUAUAUGCCUAGAAGGGAAACCUAAUGGUUGGGGAUGAUUGAUGUAGUGACUUUGAAUGCAGACAAAUAGCUUUGAUGAGGAAAUUUCUAGUAGUUGCAACGCCACAGUACUGACUAACAAACACUGUUGCGUUAAGAACCUUUAAUGGCUAAAAAGUACGAGUAAAAUGUGAGCGGCAUAAAGAUUGGACUCACGAGUUGGAAAAGGGUUAUUGGUUUUGAUGUCAAGUUUCGCUAUUGGGAGUCUUAAGUGCAUUGGGGGAGUGCUAAAAUGAAUAAUGUGUUUACUAAAGUCAAAUCUUAAGAAAUAAAGUAAACCUUGUAAAAGGUUAAAGAUGAAGUGAGGGAAAGGUUAGAUGAAUGUAUAAGAUGUUGAUAAGAAAUGUCAAUACCAAGUGAUGAAAGUGUGAAUAAAGAUUUCAAUAAAGAUAUAGCAAAUAAGUUUGUAUAGAAUAUUGUUACGAGAAUUUACAAAUCUUGUCUUGAUUGUGUUGAAAGGAAAGGAUUAGUGAUAACACAAGUAAACUACGUGGUAUGCUAGAAACCCUUGGAGAUAAAUUGAAGCAUGAGUAGUUGGGCAUGCCUUUAUGGAAAUGAUAUGCUCGGAGUAUGAAAGAACAAAUAAGUAAUUAAGUGUUUCAAGAAUGUUUAAACGCCUUUGAGAAAGAAUUAUAAAUUAUACGAGAUGAGUGAAAGAUGUGUGAUUUUAAAACUUGCUAAGGAGCCAAACGGCUAAGUCAUGAGUUAAGUGAUCACUUGCUGUGAGACAUAAGUUUAAGAUAGAUAUCCCCAAGGAAAUACUCAAAAGGGUCUUCCAACAGUUAGAAACAAGUUCUUUGGAAGUUUUGGAAGAGAUUUGAGUCAUAUAGAGCUGAAAAACCAGAAAAUCUCCUCUACAGUUUUCUGCAUUUAAACACCAAUCUUUUGUAUUUGUAUUCUGCACUCAACCUUGUACCAUUUAGAUCAACCUGUGAUCAUAGGUACUUUCUUUUACUUCUCUUCUUGUAUUCUUAGAGUGAGGGAGUCACUUUAAGUGGUUGUUUCAAGCUAGGUUUGCUUGAAUGUGUUAAGGUUCUAACUUAGUCUCGAAAAAGUUAGUUGUUAGGUUUUGGUUGAUCCCAUGAAAAACCAUUGUUGUAGGUUGUGGUUGAGCCUUUGAAAAACCACUUUGGGUUUUGGUUGAGCCUCUAAAAAACUAUUGUGAAAGGUUAUGGUUGAGCUUUUGAAAAACCACUUUGGGUUUUGAUUGAUCCCGAUAAAAACUAUUGUGAAAGGUUUUGGCUAAGCCUGGUAAAAGCCAUUGUAUAGCUUGGUGAAAGCUUGUGAAUUUCACCAGUUCUUAGUGGAAUUGUUCGGAAAAGCCUUGGUUUGAUAAUCAAGGUAGUGGAUGUAGGUUUUGGACCGAACCACUCUAAAUUCUACUGUUUUGUUUACUCUGCUUUUGUUUUAUUUUCUUUCUUUCAUUUACCUUGCAUUUGUCUACACUUAGAGACAACCUUUGAAAGAGCUAAAUUGUGCUAUUCACCCCCCCUCUAGAACAUAUUAUUGGGACCAACAUCUUACCUCUAGUUAAACAGGUAAGGAGGAUUCUUUUCCUAGACCACCCUUGGGGGUUUUAUUGUAUCUUUCUUUAUCGAGUUUGUACCCCAUUUUAGGCAAGCUUCCUAGAUAAAUGGCUCGAUCUCUGGUUUUGACCUUGUCUGUGUCAAGCUCGACUUUAUAAAAUACUUACCAUGUCAUUCAUGUGAUUGACAAUAUGCUUGCAUACUUGGAAAGCCCCGAAAAAUCGUCAAAAGACGGUAGUGUACUGAAUGGUACAAUUAAGUGGAAUUAAGCCUCGAAAUAGAACAAAUAGAGAUUUUAAGAUGAAAUUGAGAAUUUUAAAUUCCCAGAAUGAUUUAAUAUGGUGAUUCAGAGUUCGAGAAUCGAUUUGGAGUCAAAAUAAAAUUUUCAUGACCCAAGGGUAAAAGUCAUUUUUCCACCUGAGGUUAAGGUGUGAGUGUUGGAUGAAAUUUUUGACUAAGAUUGAUCAUUUGGAGUAUAAUUUGUGUUUGAGAGGUGAAAAAUUUUAAUCCCGACAUUUUUUCAAGCAUAAGGGCAAAAUAGUCAUUUUACCACCCCAAGGGUAAAAUUGGAAUUUUGCACCACCCAACACUUGUCCAGCACAUGGAUUUUACCCAAUAUUAUCAUGGAUAAUUGAAAGAUUUUAUGUGGUGGAGGAAGAAAGCUUAAUAGUUAAGAAUUUAAAAAUGGAGCAAUGGUAAGGUGACAAGUAUCAAGCUUUUAAUUCUUUAUUAUUUUCCUUAUAAAUUAGCACAAAAUCAGCCCAUUUCUCAUUCAUAUGGCCGGCCAAAGAAGAACAAAGGAAGAAAAGAAAGAACAAGAACCCUAGAGUGAAAAUUCAAGAGAAAAUUAGUGGAUUUCAAGUAAUCAAGCAAUCAAAGGUAAAAUUCCUUGAUUUUGACUUGUGAUCUACCUUUCCCAUGCAUUCUUUUUCAUUUUCCAUGGUUGAGAAUCAAGUUUUCAUGAGGAUACCCUUGCUGGCCGAACAUGGGGGGGAGGAGUUUUGAAGCUUGAUUUGGUUAGAUUUUAAUGUAUUUUAGUGUUUUUAGUUAGUUAGUGAUGUGUAGCAUGAAAAGCCAACAAGAAAAAUUCACUUUCUCCCAUCACCCAUCAUUGGCCGAAUUUUUCAUGUAGAGUGUGGAUGGUGGAUUUGAUUUUAUUUCAAGUGAAUUGGUUAGGAAAUGAUGAAUUAUGGUGAGAAAAUCAAGUAGGAAAAAAAUCAUAGCAUUGAUGCACCCACCAUGUUCGAAAUUCCCAAGAGAAAAUAUGAAGAUGAUUUUGCUAAAAUUUAUGCUAUUUGACUUGUGUUUAAUUGUUUGGAGAAUUAGAAGAAAAAUGAAGUUAAUUGGAGUUAAAUUGGACAUAUUGGCCAAUUAAUCGAGUGAUAAAUCGAAUUAGGCCAAUACCGUUUUAAUUAGGUACACAAUUGAAUUUGUGUAGAACACCGUGUUUAGAUGAUAAUCCGAACAAUUUGCAUUCCAUUUCAUGCAUCCAUAUAGUUUUAUAACAGUUUAGCACCAAUGUGAUAAAUUGCUUGAUUGUGCAUUAUGUUUAGGUGGUGAAUCCUCCGAUAAGGGCAAAGAAAUUGUACCCAAGGAUCGAUAGUCGGAGUACUCUAAAAAUUCGACUUCCGAAAUAGUGAGUAACCUUAUCAUCAUCUUGAUUAUCUUAAGUGAAUUUUUAUUCGAUUUUGUGAAUUUUAUGGAAAAUGAGUUUAAAUGGUAAAUUUUUAGGUUUUGUAAACAAAAUGUGUUUAAAUGAAAUGAUUUUAUAAAUUGUCUUGAAAUUGAAUGAUGGCUUUGAAAAUAGAGUAAUUGGAGACCAAUUGAUGUGUUGUAAAUUUAUGGUUCUAAUUAAUUGGCUUAUGGCAAUUUGGCAUGAGUGGCUGGAUUGGUAAUUGUGCUAAACAUAUAUGAACUGUUGUUUUGCACUCGCAUACUACAUUAUUAGCUGGUUUCAAAUUUUUGGGGGAAGAAUGAUCAAAAUACCCCCGAGAGAUGAAAAUUAUUUUUUUAUUGUUUUGGUUUGGAAAUAGCUUAUAAUCUUUUAAAAUAUGAUGUUAGCAACUGUUGCUCGCAAGGGAGGUGAGAAAACUGAUAUUAAAGCCUUGCGAGGUCUCAGUUGGCAUUUCGAGUAUUGAAUGUCAUCGGGACAUCGCGACGGUUGUCACGGGCUUGAGGAGAGUACUGGGUCGUGACAGUCUGCCUCAUAUAUAGAAUUCCAAAUUCCUUUCUUCUACACUAGAGAGGUGAUGAUAUUUCCAUAAGGCAAGUUGAUCUUCUCCAAUCUGCAUGCACCCCUCAUUCUUUCAAUCAUGAACCUUCCCAGAUUAAGUGUAACACCACUAAAGGCAUGUUCCAUUAGCCAUAAAACUUGGAGGCUAAUGUAGCUUAAGCUUCCACUCCUCCCAUGAAGAUUAGCGGCAACAAAGUAAUGCAGAAUCCUUAUUUGAGGACUUGUGAUAAGCCCUGCAUUGCUCUUGGAGGAAUACUUUUCUUUCUUCCCUGUGAUCACUUCCCACGGGGAUGAGGGGUCAUACUUCUCAAGGUAUUGAAAUUCUCCCUCAUUACACUCUAUCUUAAGAAGUUCCCUUAAGUCUAUAGUAGUGACAGUAAAUUCCUUCCCAUUCAAAAACACAUUCAGACCCUCAUCAGAAUAAUCAUCUAGUUUCUCCAGUUCAUCCUUGUCAACAACAAUACUCGAAUAAAAUUCCUUAGCUAAGCUAGCACUAUAUGAUCGAUUUUUAAAUGUGCUGAACUCUUUCAAUUUUAGUUCUUCAAAAUAAUCUGAUAGACUUGUCAAAAUUUUAGGCAUUUCACUAAAGCUUUCCCAAUCAAUAUAUUUCCACAAGUGAUGGGUGCAUUCUCUAUUUUCCUAAAUCUCUCUUCAUGUGCUUUAUUUAUGAAUUUAGAAGAUGAAGAAGUACCUUUCUUGUGCAAUUUGCCCUUUUCUUCCUUCUUUUCAGAUUUUUGGCUCUUCGAUUUUCCAGAUUCUUUACUUACAGAUCCCGACUCAAUCAUUUUCUUUUUCUUCAGUAUUUCAACUUGCAGAUUUUCUUCCAUCAGCCGUUUGCCUUGCUUCUUUUCCAUAAGUUUUUGAGAUUUUCCUAUCUUCACCAUUUGGUUUGGAUGAUUUUGGAUUCAGAGUUUCGAAUGGUUGAGAGGUGAGGGUUUUAGUUUCAGGCUUCGAUUUUAGCAGAGAGAGAGAGUGUAAAGAAAAUGGGUUGAGAGCAAUUUAAUUCCAAAUGAAAAACUAUCUGACUCCCCCUAUUUAAGCGCAGUUUGUAACUCCCCUUUCAAAAUUCAAAUAUUACCUCCUAAUUUUUUUUUUGUUUGGGUAGUUUUUCUACUCUAUUUUAUUUCCUGGUACGCAAUUUUUUCUUAUUAUUUUAUUCCUUCUGCCUUUAACUUAAUUGAGUCUUAUUAUUUAAUGAAACGGAAUGUUCUUAGUUGACUAAGAUUUUCUGUAGUCGACUAAGUGCCUUCUGUUUUAUGUGAAUGAGUCAAAAAUUUUACCUACAACUCCUGCAUAUUAAUCAUUCCUAAAUUUCUUCUAAUCUCACAAAGUCUAUCUUCAUUUAGAGGUUUGGUAAAGAUGUCAACAAAUUGAUGUAAAGUAUUUACAAACUCAAUUUUAACAUCUCCCUCCACUACAUGGUCUCUAACAAAAUGGUGCCUAAUCUCAAUGUGUUUAGUUCUAGAAUGUUGCACAGGAUUUUUUGAUAUAUUGACUGCACUUAUUAUCACAAUAUAUUGGUAUAUUAUGCACUGUUAUUCCAUAGUCCUUUAAUUAUUAUUUAAUCCACAAAAUUUGUGCAGAGCAGCUGCUUAGAGAAAUAUAUUCUGCUUUAGCUGUGAUAAAGCUACUGAAUUUUGUUUCUUACUUGACCAAGAUAUUAGCAUACUUCCUAGAAAUUGGCAUGUUCCACUAGUGCUUUUUCUAUUGGUUUUGCUUCCUGUAAAGUCUGCAUCCGAAUAGCCUACAAGAUUCAAUAAUGAUUCUCUAGAGUACCAUAUUCCUAAGGUUUGUGUUUCUAAAAGGUAUCUAAAAAUUCUCUUAACAGCAGUUAAGUGUGAUUCUUUAGGCUGUGACUAAAAUCUAGCACACAAACACACACUAAACUGAAUAUCUAGUCUACUUGUUGUUAAGUAAAGUAAUGAUCCAAUCAUAGCUCUAUAGAGCUUUUGAUCAACAUUCCUUCAUUUUUCAUCUAAAUCAAGUCUAGUGGGUGGACUCAUUGGUGUAUAAAUUGAUUUUAGCUUUAGCAUAUCAAACUUUUUGAGCAUGUCUUGAGUGUAUCUUUCUUGGUUGAUGAAGAUUCUUUUAUUACUUUGUUUGAUUUGAAGGACAAGAAAGUACUUUAGCUCACCCAUCAUGCUCAUCUCAAAUUCACCCUGCAUUUCUUUAGCAAAGUUCUUGCAUAAAGCCUCAUUAGUUGCACCAAAUACAAUGUCAUCCACAUAAAUUUGAACAAUAAUUAAAUCCUUUAAGUAUCUUUUAAUAAACAAUGUAGUAUCAAUGCACCCCUAACAUAUCAUUUUUCAACCAGAAAUUUUGAAAGCCUCUCAUACCCAGCUCUAGGAGCUUGUUUCAAUCCACACAACGCUUUAUGAAGUUUGAAAACAUGAUAUGGUUUUUCAAAGUCUUCAAAUCCUGGUGGUUGUUCAACAUACACUUCCUCUUGAAUGAAUCCAUUUAAAAAUGCACUCUUUACAUCCAUUUGGUACAAUUUAAAAUUCAUAAAGCAUGCAAAAGCAAGCAACAACCUUAUGGCUUCAAUCCUAGCAACCGGUGUAAAGGUUUCAUCAUAGUCAAUUCCUUCCUCUUGGUUGUAUCCUUGGGCUACUAACCUAGCUUUAUUUCGAACUACAUUUCCUUGCUUAUCUACCUUAUUUCUAAACACCCAUUUUGUUCUAACAAUAGGGUGGUUUAAAGGCCUAGAGACUAAUGACCAUACAUGGUUUCUUUUAAAUUAAUCAAGUUCCUCUUGCAUGGCCAAUAUCUAACUUUCCUCUUUUUCUGCUUCCUCAGAUGUCUUAGGCUCAAUUUGAGAUAUGAAAGCUAAAAACUCAUAAGUCUCUCUUGUUGCUCUCUUAGUCUUAACUCCUUGUGAAAUGUUACCUAUGCUUUGUUCUUGUGGAUGAUCUUUUGCAUAUCCCCAAAUCCUUGGUAGAUCAUUAUGCUGAAUUUAUGUUCUUUGCAAAUUUUCUAGAGGUGGAGUUUCAUUUUCUCUUCUAGGUGUGUUUUCUUCAUUAUUCUUAUUGUUAUCUAAGCUCAUUUCUUCCAUUUGCUUUUCUAGGAUUUCUACAUCAUCAUCAUCAGUAUGAAUUUCCUUUUGUAAGGCAUUGGACUCAUCAAAAACUACAUGGAUUGAUUCUUCAACAGUUAAAGUUCUUUUGUUGAAAACUCUAAAAGCCUUUGAGUUUAAUGCAUAUCCUAAAAAUAUUACCUCAUCACUCUUUGCAUCAAACUAACCUAAGGAUUGUUUUCCAUUGUUUAACACAAAACAGUUACAACCAAAACUCUUAAGGUGUGAAAUAUUAGGUUUCCUACCUUUGUAAAGUUCAUAUAGAGUCUUUGAUAUCAUGGCUUUAAUUGAGACUCUAUUAAGUAUAUAUGUUGCUGUGUUCACUGCCUCAGCCCAAAAAUAUUUUGGUAGUUUAUUCUCACAUAGCAUAGUUCUAGCCAUUUCUUUUAAGGUUCGAUUUUUCCUCUUUGCAACUCCAUUUUGCUAGGGUGUUCUAGGUGCAGAAAAAUUAUGAUCCAACCCCUUUUCAUUGUAAAAUUUCUCAAAUUCAUCACUUUCAAAUUCUCCUCCAUGAUCACUCUUCAUACUAACUAUGGCUAGUCCUUUUUCAUUCUCAACUUUCCUAUAAUGACUUAUAAAUGCUGGUAGAGCAUCACUCUAAUGAGCAAGAAAAUAAACCCAAGUGUACCUUGAGUAGUCAUCAACUAUUACAAAGCCAUAAGAUUUUCCUCCUAGACUAGUUAUACUUAUUAGAUCAAAUAGAUCAAUGUGCAGCAAUUUAAGAGGUCUAGUUGUUGACACAAUCUUCUUAGUCUUAAAGGAUGUUCUAACUUAUUUUCCUAGUUGGCAAGCAUCACAAAUUUUAUCAUUUUUAAAUUUUAUAUCCGGCAGUCCAACAACUAGAUUUUUCUUGAUUAAUUUUGACAUAAUAUGCAUGCUUCCAUGUCCUAUUUUCCUAUGCCAUAGCCAGCUAUCAUUUUCAGUAUUUCUCCACUAAACACAUUUCACAAUUCAUUUCAAGAUCUUCAAGAAAUGCAACAUACAUAUUUUUUAAUCUUUUUCCUAUAAAUGAGACUUUAUUUGUGCUUAUAUCUAUCACUUCACACUUAUUUGAAUCAAAGCAUACUUUAGAUCCUUUAUCACACAAUUGACUAAUGCUCAAUAAAUUAUGUUUUAAGCCUUUAACCAAUAACACAUGACUGAUUUGAGUUUGAGAGUUCUUACGAACCGUUCCUAUACCAUGGAUUCUACCUUUUGAAUUAUCACCAAAGGAUACGGUUCCUCCAUUUCUUUUUGUCUAGCUUAGCAAAUAGCAUUUUAUCUCUUGUCAUGUGUCUUGAGCAGCCAUUGUGCAUAUACCAAGGCUGCUUCUUCUUGAGUUGAGUUCUUGAACAUGUCUCCUUUAAGUGCUACUCAACCUACAAAAUAGAAUUUCGGUUUUUCUUUAUAAGUACCCAUACUUUGAUGGGUCUUUGAUUGUUAGCAGCAACAUAGGAUCCUUUUGGAACCCAUAUUUUCCUUAUUUUCUGCACAUUUAUGUUUUUAUUAAAAUCAUAAGAUAAAUGGCCAAUUUUAUUGCAAAUAUAACACCUAGAAGAUGCAUUAGCAGAAUUUUUCUUGUAGUAUGCAUUUCUUUUUGACGUUUCAUUUUUCAAACUUAUAAGGGCUUUGUUUUCAUCAAGUGUUUUUUGCAAAGCUUUAAACUUAUUGUCCAGCUUAAAUUUUUAAACUUCAAAAUUUGUUUUUGAGUGUUCUAACUCAACUUGCAGAAAAUUUCUUUGCUCAAAAAUAGAAUUGAACUCUUAUCUUAUCUUUUCUAAAUCAUUUUCAAAGGAUGCAAUCUUUUUCUUUAAAAUCUUGUAUUUUGCAAAGAGUUUUUCAAAUUCAUCAAAAAGGCACUCAUACUCAUCUUGUAAAUCAUCAAUAGAAAUAUCACAGGGGGAUGAGGGUACCUCAGUUUCAUCAUCCUGUGCCAUCAAACACAGAUUUGUUCUUUCUUCACCUUUUUUUUCCUCACUUUCAGAACUUGAUGUGUCACUGUCUGACCAAGCAGCUGCCACCAUUGCCUUCUUUGAUUUCUUGUUUUUCUUUGGAGUCUCAUUUUUUAGCAAUGGGCAUUCGGACUUGAAAUGUCCAACCUUCUUGCGUUCGAAGCAGGUUAGCUCAUCCUUUUUGUUGGAGUCAUCUCUGUUUCUAGUUCUCCAUGAAGAACCUUAAUCUUUUUUAAACCCUCUUCUAGCUAAUCUCUGAUUUUUUUUGCCCAUAAGCUUUCUGAAUUUCCUUGCAACCAGUGCUAACUCUUCAUCAUCAUCACAGGAUAGCUCUUCCAGCUCUUUUUCAUGAAUGAUGGCUUUAAGUGCAAUGCUCUUUUUCUUUUCUUUUGCUUCCCUUCUAUCUUCUUCUUCUUCUUCCUUGAGUUCUAACUCAUGAGUGAGGAGAGAACCACAAAUCUCAUAUAGAGUAAUAACAUUUAGGUCCUUGGCUUCCCGGAUUGCAGUCACUUUAGGCUUCCAAUUUUUUGGUAGGCUUAUAAGAAAUCUUUUAACAAUCUCAUGCUUGGGUAUUGGUUUGCCUAAUUGACUUAAUUUGUUUGUGAAUCUAUCCAACAUGCUGGUGAUAUCUUCACUAGGCUCCAUCUUAAACAUUUCACAAUUAUGGGUCAAGAGGGCUAUCUUGGACUCCUUGACUUGAGAAGUCCCUUCACGGAUAAUUCUAAGUUUAUCCCACACUUGUUUAGCUAUUGUACAGCUUGAUACUUUGUUGAAUUCGGUAGGAGUCAAGGCACAAUGCAAUGUAUUAAUAGCCUUAAAAUUUAUUUGGACUUUCUUAGUUUCAGCCUCGGUCCAUUCAGAUAUUGGCUUAGGCAUCAUCUCAUUAGUUACUACAUUUAAGGUUGAGGGAAUAAAGGGUCUAUCAGUUAUGACGUCCCACAUUUCAUAAUCAAUUGAUCUAAUGUAUAUUGACAUCCUAAUGCUCCAAUAAGGACAGUUAGAGCCAUCAUACAGAGGUGGUAUGUUUAUUGAUUGUCUCUCAGCAACUAUGAAAUUUUGGAGAGCCAUUUAGAUCCUCCUAAAGGGUGUUAGACCUUAAGAACAAGGAACUUGCUUUGAUACAAUUUGUUGGUCCCAAGUAAAUGUGCUAGAGAAGGGGUGAAUACCACAAUUUGGCUCUUUCAAAAAUUGUCUCUAAGUGUAGACAAAUGCAAGACAAAAGAAAGACUGAAAAUUAAACAAAAAAAGAGUAAAUAAGACAGCAGAAUUUAGAGUGGUUCGGUCCAAGACCUACAUCCACUACCUUGAUUAUCCAACCAAGGAUUUUCCAACCAAUCCACUAAGAACCGGUGAAACUAACAAGCUUUCACCAAGCUUUACAAUGGCUUUUACUAGGCUUAGCUAAAACCUUUCACAAUAGUUUUUCCCAGGCUCAGCUAUAACCCAACAUCGAACUUUUCAAGGCUAAGUUAGAACAUUUAUCUAAACAAGAAAUCCUAGCUUGGUUGAACCCCUUAGAGUGACCCUUUCACUCUAAGAACAUAAAGAAAAAUGAAAUAAAAGUGUACCUAUGAUCACAAAGUUGAUCUAAGUGGUACAAGUUGAAGUGCAAAACACAACUACAAAGAUGGGCGUUGAGUGCAGUAAAGUGCAGAGAAAUUUUUUCUAGUUUUUGAACUCUUUUUGCUUGGAAGCCUUUUCUCUUUUAUUUCUAGCCGUUAGAACCCUUUUUUAUACUUUGAGAAACAACUCUGAUGGCAGUUUGAUAGUUUUCUAACCGUUGGAAACAGUUGAAAGUUGAAUCUAGUUGUUAAUCUGUCUUUUAGUGCAGAGUUUUAACUUGCAGGCAGAAUGCUCUUCGUCGACUAAGUCGUCUUUGUCUUCUGUUCCCAGUUUCUGAUAGUUCUAGUAAUGUGCACUUAGUCAACUAACUCAUUCCUUGGUUGACUAAGUUGGUUCUGUUUCUCAAUACUCUUCAGCCCGCCAACUUUUAAUUUAAAUCUUAGCUGACUAACUUUUCAUUAAUCGACUAAGGGGCUUUAAUCAUGUUGAUCAAUUGUGACUUCCUUAUUCCUAUGCUCUUUGAUAUAUGCGCUUAAAUGAUUGAUUACAUAUUUGCAUAUAAUUUUUGUCCUACACACUUAAGUAGAAAUAUUAGACACAAAUGAAUGGGAAUGUUUUAUUAUCAUAAAAAACUAAUGAAGCCAAUAGACAUUAAUAAAUCUCAUAAGUUUUUCUUCAAACUAAUGUAAAUAGCAUUAUUUAAAACCAUUUCUUACAAGUAUAAUAGAAGCCAAAGUUUGCAUAAACAUUUAAGAUGGCAAUGAGAGUUAUAAACAUUUGAAAACAUUGUAAAAACGGAGUGAAAACAUUAUUCUGUAACUGAAGUAUCGAUACAUCCUUGUGAAGUAUUGAUACUUUUUACACAGAAUGCUUUCUGGACUAUAUGUAUUGAUGCAUUUGGAAAAGUAUCACUACUUUCUACACAAAAUACUUCGUGGGACAUUCUAUGUUCUAUGUAUCAAUACUUACUCUUCAAGUAUUAGUACUUCAUUCAUAAAACUUAGUCUACUAUAACAUUUUUUGCAUUUUCUAACUCUAUAAGUCAUCCUAACCAUAGGAACAAUCAUAUAAACUAUGAUUUAAUUGACUAAGCUACACUCCAUCAAGUUCUCAACUAUACCAUGUCAUUUCCUCAUUUAUAACUUGUAUAGAAUCUUCUUACAUUCUAUUUUCUAUAAUCAUUCUAAUAAUCAACUAGAAUUCAACUAUCUGUGAGUGGUAGCCUGCCCUAAGUCAAGGUGGAAAUGGUUUAAUCCCCACUAUUAGAUUCCUUUGGAGUGGUAAUCAGUCCCGACUCCCAAUGACUAGGGUUUAAUCCCCACUAACUUAGAUUACUAAGUGCAUUUAGGAGUGGCAUCUCACGUAGUUUGCCCCAACUCAAGGCAGAUAGUGGUAAAAAUCCCCAUUAUCUUGGAUUACUCCUAAACAUAUAGGAUCUAUCAUAUCCAUAACUUAUAACAUCAUCAUUUCAUAGUCAUACUUCUUUGUGGCUCAUGCGUCAUGCUAAUAAGGUAUGUGGAACUAUAUUAGAUACAAAUCAAAAUUAACGUACAUAUAUUUAUAUACACAUCUCAUAAAUGUUUCAUAGCCUCAAGGGUGGCAAUGUCUACACCCACCUAAACAUGUCAUCUAGCAUACAUGCAUUUCAUAUUCAUCAUAUCAACUUGAACUCAUUUUGAAGGACAAUCAAAUAAAGGGCUUGUCCCCCCUUAUUGAAAGCUAAUACACAGUAGAAUAUUUACAUAUAUAGUAGAUUCAAAAACAUUUUUGAAAUUGUUUGGGUUUAAAACAUUUGAGUAGUCAUUAUAAAGGUAAUCUUUAAUCAUGCAUGAUAAAGACUUCAAUAAAUAAUGUUUUACUUUACAUAUAUAAUAUACUUAAAAAAGGUGGAUCCACAUACCUUUAGAAGACUCGACCUUUACCAAUGAGCAAGACUUUACUUCAGUGAAUUCCUUAGAGUUUUGACAACCCUAAGUGUUCAACAAUCAUUGUAAGCAUUACUUAAACUAGAAUCUUGUGGUAAUCAUCAAUACGAAUUUCGAAACUUGUCAAGUUCAAGCAGUACUAAAUUUCUAGCUUUAAAUAUACUAUUUUUCAUUUAUCUAAUGGUAAAUAUAGUUAAAUCUUUAAGUAUUCCUUACCUUGGUGAGCUACAAAGGAUAGAAGUCUCUAGAAACCUUAGCUUCUUUGAAUAACCACGAAAUCUAUUGGAUUACUUAAAAUCAGUAAUGGAAAUCUAAGUUUUGAAAGAUUAAAAGUCAGAAACUUUAACUUUGAUAGUUAGAAAAACACAAACCAAACUUUAAAUCUUCGAAAAUGAGGUUUUUUAUCGAAAAAAGAGUUUGAAAAUGCUAAAAUUUGAGAGCAAAUGUUGAAAAAGUGGUUGGAGUUUGAAAGAAUGAAAAAAAAACCUAAAAUGGAAUUUUUUAGGUGGAAAAUACAUUUUUACCCUUUUUUAUAUUUUAGAAAUUGACGACAAGUAUCAAUACAUUUGGGAAAAUAUUGAUACUUGAGUUUCUGGGUUUAAUGUAUCAAUACAUGUUCAUUAUGUAUCAAUACUUGUUCAUCUAAAUUCUUUUUGAAAGCUUUUUAGGUAGAAUGUAUCGAUACUUUUGCUCUAGAAUGUAAAUUUUUGCUUUCAAAACACUUCUUUAUGGCCUAUUUACAACUCUUAAGUACUUUUUCUCUUAAAAUUUGAGAUUUAGGCUUAAAACAUGUUUAAAUUUGCUCACCCAAUAAGAUUUACUUAACUAAUCUAGACCCUAGGUUGAGUGGUUUCACAUUCUCUCCCCUUGGAAAAAUUUAUCCUCGAAUUUAAAUAUGUACUAACCUUCACUAAAUAAGCUUGGGAUUUUUGCUCUCAUGUUGUCCUCGACUUCCCAAGUCACUUUUUCACUCAAGUGAUUGCACCAUUGCACCUUGACCAAGGCAAUCUCUUUAAAGUGUACUUUCUUCACAUGUUUAUCCAAUAUUUCAAUUAGUUCUUCCUAGUAGCUCAAAUCAUCUCUCAUUUAUAAAGUCUCAUGCUGGAUCACAAGAGAUAGUUCAGGAUUGUACUUUUGAAGUACUGAAAUGUGCACUAUUGAGUGAAUGCUAGAAAGAUCUAGUAGAAGUGUUAGAUGAUAUGCCAUUGUCCCAACUCUCUUAAGGAUCUCAAAUGGUCGUAUAUACCUUGGGCUCAACUUGCCUUUCUUGCUAAACCUCAUAAUGCCUUUCUUUGACGAAACCCUCAAAAACACAUGAUCACCAACAUUAAGUUCCAAGUCUUUAUGUUUGUGGUUAACAUAUGACUUCUGACGACUUUGUGCUAUCAACAUCUUCUCUCUAAUCAACUGAAUCUUGUUAGUGGUCUCUUGAACCAUCUCUGGUCUAAAAAACUUCCACUUACCAACCUUAAACCAACAAAUGGGCGAUCUGCACUUUUUCCCAUAUAAAGCCUCAUAAGGUGUCAUUUGAAUGCUAGACUAAAAGUUGUUGUAGGAAAACUCUAUCAAAGGUAAGUGUCGAUCCCAAGUGACUCUAAAGUGUACGACACAAGCUCAUAACAUAUCCUCUAAUGUCUAACUAGUCCCCUUGGAUUGCCCAUUCAUUUAUUUAACAGUAUGGUGACAAUGACUCUAUGCAAUCGCACUAUCUCAUCCAUAUAUAAUCCAGCAUACUAUGCCACUCCAUAAGUAGUCCUUACUAGCAAAAAAUGAGUGGACUUAAUCAGUCUAUCAACGAUUACCCAAAUAGAAUCACACACCUUGCUAGUUCGAGGAAGCUCCAUCACAAAAUCCAUAGAAAUAUGCUUUCAUUUCCAUUCGAGAAUGGGUAAAGGCUGUCAUAAUCUAACGUGCCUUUACUAUUCUACCUCAACUUGCUAACACACUAAGUACUUAGCUACCUCAUUUGCUAUGUCGUUUUUAAACUUUCCCACCAAUGUAACUCCCUCAAAUCACGAUACAUCUUAAUGGUCCUUAGGUGAACCACAUAGGCUACCACAUACGUGUGAGACCUCAACCCCUAUAAGCUCAUAACGAGGCAUAGGCGUAAUAACCUGGCUAGGGGUAGUUUCGUCAUUUCCUCUAAAAAGCUCUCAAAAGAAGGUUUUAUGAUAUUUUAAGGUCUAAAUAGGCAUAAGACCGAAUAAAUAAUGUGUAAUGAUGAAAACACGAAGAAAACUAGAAGUUUCAAUAAUUUUUGCCAUAAGGGCAAAAUCAUCAUUUUUCACCUUGAGUCAAAAUUUUUAAGUUUCAUAAACCCGAGCGUGUCUAGACCAUUAUGGACUUGUUUUAGUAUCAAAAGAGUAAAAAGAUUGCACCAAGGAUUGAAGGAGAACAAGUUAAUGUGCUAAGGGCAUUUUUGUAAUUUCAAGUGGAAUGGAUAAGCAUGGGCUAUAAAUAUUUUCUUCCAACAACUUCUUCUUCCAUUUUCCAGCAGCUUCUUCUUCUGCUUCUUCCUUCUUCUCUUUCACGUUACUUCCAACCUCCAUGGAAGCAUGGUAUGAGAACUUCAUAACUUUCUCUCUCUAGCUCUAAAUUUCAUGCUUUUGCCCACUCUUUCAUACGGUAUUUCAUGCUUUUCCACUUGUACACCUUAAAACCAUUAAAAAAAGUCUUUGUUCAGCACUUUCUCUCACUAGUUGAAAGUUUUAGAGAGAGAAAGAGGGAGCUUCCAUAGUAGCUUGACAAUUUUUGGAAAGAAUUUCAAUUAUAAAGCUACUAAGGUGAGUAGUGAACUAUAGUUGAUUUUUAAGUGUUGAGAAUGUCUAGUAAUUAGAAUUGUGAGAGUUUAUUUGUUGGGAUUAUUAGUCAUUUUAGUGUGACUAGAGAAUUGCAAACAAUAGCCAUUUAAUGGUGGUUGGAAACUAGUUAGGAAUGACUAGUAGAACCCAAUUUAGAAAAUAGUUUUGGAGUGAUAUUAAUGUAAAUUGGAUUGGUUGUGAUGUUGUGUGUGUAUAGGUUCCAACAAGGCCUCACAUGUCCAUUUGGAGUAUCAGAUGAGGUUAGAAUCAAGCAAAAGAAAUAACAAGACCGGUGAGUGAACUUGCAUUUCAAAGUAUUUUUGGGAAUGUGAAUGUGUUUGCACAAGACAUUAAAUUAUUUUAUCAAACUUUUCUUAAGAAUGGGUGCCUUGGGAACAAGCCCUUGAUAAAUUAUCUUUGUGUUGUGAUAUGUGACUAUUAUGGAUUCAUAUACUGCUACAUUAUGUUGAUAUAUAUAUAUACAUAUGAAUAUAUUAUUGUGUAAUGAUAUUGACUCGGCUAUGUGCCGAGUAGGGAGUGCACAUAAGUAGAUGAUGACCCGGUUAUGUGCGAGUAGGGAGUGUGCAUAAACCAAUGAUGACCCAGCCAUGUGCGAGUAGGGAGUGCACAUGAGCUGAUGAUGAUGAGAUGGUGUGCAUGAUGAUGAUGGGAUGGUGUGCAUGAUGAUGAUGGGUAUAUAUAUAUAUACAUAUGUAAAUAUGUGUGUUAUAGGAAGUUUAUGAGUAAUGGUAUAUGGUUGUAAUGCCUGUGAAAUUUGGCAUGAUGAAUCUUGAGAAAUUCCCAUUUUCUUGCAAAUUGAUCUUUAUUGCAACACCAAAUGGAUUUUUUGUGCAAAGGAGGCCCCUUUUUCACUUAGGUGCCCUACUUCUCGUUGCAGCGAGAAUUCUUUCUCGCUGCAGUGACAAACAUUUUGUUUUGGCAGCAGAAAACUCACUGCAGCAAAAAUAAAUCUCACUGUAGCGAGAAACUCUCGGGUUUUGAUGUAGUGACUUCACUUUGAUGAAAAUUUUGACCACCUUCCCGUCCUAACUGGGAAAAGUGGUAAACAUAAAAGUUGUAGCCCUGCCUCUUAUCUUUCUAAUGAUCUAAAAUCAGGUCAAUUGGACUUUUUUAAAGGGAGAUAUUUUAGAUAGACUGAAAUAUAUGCAAACUGGUACUAUUUCUCACUGCAGCGAGAAACAUUCUGUCCUACAUGCUACCCUAUUCAGUUUUGACAUACUUUUCACCCAUUUAACUUCAUGGAUUUCAUGGGUUGUUGCAACACUAUGAGGUUGUUAAUCAAAGUUUGAAAUGAGGGGUUUUUAGCAAGAAAUUAAAUCAAUUACAUUGUUUUUGAAACAAGUGCAUCAUGAUUUUCAAAUUCUUCCGAUUGAUAGCUUGUUCCCUUCUUAUGUUCACUGACUGAGUUUUAUACUCACAUUUUUAAACUUCAUGUUUUCAGAUUUGGAGGCAGUUGGGACCUAGAUUGAGUUGUCCAUGUAUACUCGCAUUCUUGGUAGGUACUACAGCAUCUUAGUAGCUGUACCUUCACCCACAGUCACUCCGUUGACGGUCAAGAGUCGUAUGCUUAUGUAUACAUAUAAGUAAUGUAGACCAUUCAGAUUCAUGUUAGAAAAAUCAAAUAUGUAUAUUUGAUGACUGAUGCUACUAUAGGCUGGCAAACGAGUAACAUUAUUUUAACAUAAUACGAAUGUGAAUAUUGGGUUACUAUAGAAUGUUAUUGAAAUAUUUUUGGUUGAGAAUCACAAUAUGGGUUUGAGUAAUGAUGGUUUGGAGUGGUGAUCGGGAUUGUAUAAAUAGGCUUGUUUGGGCUUAGUGGGCUAUGUCCAUUGGGCCCAUGCGCCAGUCAUGGCCCGAAAUUUGGGCUGUGACAAUACGCCUUUUCCAAUAUCUUUCAUUGUAAAUCAUCAAUGUUUGACACAUACAUUUUAGAUCCUUAUCAUAAUAAUCCAUCCAUGCCUUUACUAGAGAUUUGCCCUUUUUACGCUUGAGGAUUUAGAGCUUUAACAAUAAAGCCAUCCUUGCUUUAGGCGUUUUUGAUCUUAUCAAUCAAAAUUAGCCUUACUCUAAAUGGGCUAACAAUGCCUCCAUGUCAUCAAUAUCAAAUCGUACUCCCAUAUUGCCCAAGUUAUGCAUGCCUUGCACUAAGGAUCUUCAAUCAAUUGAUAUAUAGGUCAAACUACACAUAGACUUCUGGCUCAAAGCAUUUGCCAUAACAUUGGCCUUGUUGGGAUAAUACAAAAUAUUGUAGUCAUAAUCCUUAAGCAACUUCAUCCAUCGACGUUGCCUAAGGUAGAGUUCCCUCUGUUGAAAAAUAUACUUGAUGCUAUUGUCGUUUAUAUAGAUCUCACAAGUCUAUCCAUAAAGAUAAUGCCUCCAAAUCCUCAAGGCAAGCACUAUAGCAGCCAUCUCUAAGUCGUGGUUGGGAUAAUGCCUUUUGAGCUACCUAGAUGCGUGCAUUAUCACCUUUCCAUUUUUCACCAACACACAAGCCAGUCCUACUCGUGAUGUGUCGUAAUGAACCACAUAUUAUUUUGUAUCACAUGACAUACUCAACAUUGGAUUUGUGGUAAAACAAGCCUUAAGCUUCUUAAAGCUCUUCUUGCAUGCCUUCUACUAAAUGAACUUUGCAUUCUUUUACAUUAACUUAGUCAUGGGAUCUACAAUCCCAUAGAAAUCCUUAACAAACCUACGAUAAUAGUUGGCCAAUUCUAAGAAACUAUGGAUCCUUGUCAUUGCUGUUAGCCUCGACCACUUUUCCAUUGCCUCAAUCUUCUUUGGAUCUACUUUUACUCCAUCCAUAGACACUAUGUGACCCAAGAAACUUACACUAUCAAGUAAACUCAUACAUAGAGAACUUGUCAUAAAACUUAUGCACCCUCAAAGUGAAGCAUAAUCCUUAAGUGUUGUUCAUGUUUCUCAUGAUUCAUCGAGCAUAUCAGGAUGUCAUUUAUAAACACCACUAUGAACUUGCCCUAAAUACUCUAUUCAUCAUAUCCAUAAAGAUUGUAUGUCACAUCCUAUUUCAAAGACAUGACUGAUGUGAGGACCUACAUAGGUAUAGCCCACUAGGCCCAAGUAAGCCUUAACUAACAAUGCAUGGGCUUGUCAUCCAUCGCAUUCAUCUAUAUUUCCAUUCAUUUACAUCUUCACAUCAUUGCAGAACUUUUCGAUGUAAUGUACGGAAUUACAUUCAUUCAUACAUAGAAUAUACAGGUAAAUCAACAAUUUCACAUCAUUAUGGAACUUCUUAACAAAUGUUUCGCAAUUUCAUUCCAUGUCAAUAUUCACAAGUUUAUCAUUGUGGUUCGGCACACAUCUCGUGCCCAUAUUGCUAUGGUCCUCUCACCAUAGUCUCAACAUUCUCAUAUGCAUUAAUUUUUAGGGCUUAACAUAAUAUUUAAAAUGAAUAACAAACAUAAGUAUAUUUAUUACAUAACCAAGUUUCAUUCAAAUAUCAACGUUCAAAAGACUUGAGUUGACACAUUGCGAAGUGUAGUGACACUAAGGAGCCAGAAGGAAGGUACUACCACACCUGCCAAGUAUGAGAUAAGCUAUUCCUCUAUAAGCCGCCUAGGCAAGAAAAAUAUUGAUAUGUAAAACAAAAAUAGGGGAAAAUAGCGAGUGAGUCACAAAGACUUCGUGAAUGGAUACAGGGAAGGUGACAAACCAAAAGGAAGAGUUUUUGGAAAAAAUUACAGCUUACAAAAAUAAAUAUUCACAAAUAUUCAUAUAAAUUCUUUCAAAAGUCAAUAAUCCCAUUUCAACAUUUUUCCACAAAUGCAUUUGAAGAUCAUGAUGCAUAAAAGAAUUAAUAAGCAUUCGUACCUUUCCUUACAAAACAUUUGCAAAGAGAAAAAUGAGGGAGUUAAACUCAAUGAUACGGAUACUUAUACCAUUGGCAGUGGAAUCAAUCCUUAUACAACCCAUACUUUGGGUAUUCCUCCCAUUUAAAGGCUUAGGAAGCACUAAGCGAGUUUAUCACUCUUUAGCUUUAUAUCAACCAUUUAAUGGAUGAAUAAACAUUUAUGAACUAAACGCAUUAGCAUUAUUAAAUGAACAUUUCCAACAAUUUAAUAUAGACAUGGAUAUCACCAUUUCAACAAUUGGCAUGUUUGCCUCGUCAUCACAACUAUAAAGUGUGUGGUGCGACUCUUCACAUUUGACCUUUAUCACAUGUGGUAUGAUGCCCCACAUCUAGCUUGAGUGUUGUAUGGAAUAAUGCUCCACAUUUUACCCUUGUCAUAUCUGGUAUGAUGCCUCACAUCUGGCUCACGUGUUCAUGUGGAAAAAUGCCCCACAUUUGGCGUUUGUCAUGUGUGGUACGACGCCCAAAAUCUGGCCUUUAAACAUGUGUGCUAUGACACCCCACGUCUGGCCUUUAUGUACUCAUGACAAUUUCAUGCGUGCUUAAAACAUUAUCAUUGUGAGACCUCAACCUCUAUAGGCUUAUAACUAAGUAUAGAUGUAAUAAUACGAGUUAGGGGUAGUUUCGUUAUUUUCUCUAAUAAGCUUCUAGAAGAAAGUUUUAUGAUAUUUUAAGGCUUAAAUGGGUAUAAGACUGCAUAAAUGAUGUGUGCUGAUGAAAACAUGAAGAAAACUAAAAGUUUCAAUAAUUUUCAUAAUAGGGGCAAAAUGGUCAUUUUUUACCUCGGGUUAAAAUUUUAAGCUUUUAUGAACUCGAACAUGUCUAGACCAUUAGGGAUCUUGUCCCAGUGUUAAAAGAGCAAAAAGAUUACAUAAAAGAUUGAAGGAGAAUAAGUUAAUUGGUGGAGGGGUAUUUUUGUAAUUUUAAGAGAAAGGAUAAGAUUACCUAUAAAUAUCUUGAAUUUCUAGCAGCUUUUAGAGAUUUUCCAGCAGCUGGCCUUUUUCUUCUUCUCCUCUCUCACGUUUCUUCAAAACUCCAUGGAAGCUUGAUUGAAGCUUGAAUGAUUUUCUCUCUCUAGCUCUAGUUUUCACACCUUUGAACCCUUUUGACUAGAACCUUUGAAUUCUUUCAUCCUCUCACUUCAAAACCCUUGAUAAAGCUUAUUUCCAAACUUGCUCUCACUAGUUGGGCAUUUUAGAGAGAGAAAGAGAGAAUUACUCCAUUGAUUUGGAAGCAAUUGGAAGAGAAUUUGACUACAAAGGAGCCCUAGGGUAAGUAAUGAACUAAGCUCGAUUUUUAGUUGCAAAAAAUGGCUAGUAAUUGGGAUUUAUGAGCUGUUUUAUUGUUGAUUAUGUUCAUUACUUUUUAGUGAUUAAGAUAGUGAACAUAGAUAGCCGUUUAAUGUGGCAAUUGAAAACUAGCUAAGAGAUAGCUUUUAGAGUUCAUAGUGUGUAAAUUGAUUUAUUGUUUAUGUUAAUGUGAUCCUAGGUUUUAAGGAAGCCCCAUCAUCUCAUUUGGACAAUUAGGGGAAUUGGAGUCAUCUAAAGGCUUUACAAUCAAUUGGUGAGUGGACUGCCUUCAAAACUUAUUUUGGGAAUAUAAUGUAUUUGACAAACGUUUGAAUGAUUUUAUACGAUUUUUCAUGAAAAUGAAUGCCUUGGGAACAAGCUCUUGCGAAAUGAUUUAUGUUAUGAUAUGUGGUUAUUAUGGAUUUCUAUGUGGCUGCAUUAUGUUGAUAUACAUAUAUGCUUGAAUAUAAUGUUGUGUAAUUAUAUUGACUCGGCUAUGUGCGAGUAGGGAGUGCGCAUAACCCGGUGAUGACCCAGCCAUGUGCGAGUAAGGAGUGCGCAUGAGCUGGUGAUGAUGAUGUUGGGAUGGUGUGAUGAUGAUGAUGGGUAUAUGCGUAUAUAUAUAUAUACAUAUGUAAAUAUGUGUGUUAUAGGAAAUUGAUGGAUAAUGGUUUAUGGUUGUAAUGCGUGUGAAACUUGACAUGUUAAACCUUGAGAAAUUGUUAUGUGUUUCAUAUUGAUUUUGAAAGGGUAGGCUGGCCGAAAACUUGCUGCAGUGAGAAUGACACUGUAGCUUCUCGCUGCAGCGAGAAACUUUCUGUUUCUGGGUUGCAAUUUCGCUGCAACGAGAAACAUUUUGUUUCGGGGUUACAAUUUUGCUGCAGUGAGAUUCAAUCUCGCUGCAGCGAAAAACUUUAUGUUUUGGUCUCCUAUCUUGUUCAAUUGCUGCCCUAUCUUUUACUUCUUUGCUACCAUAUCGGAGCAUGGACUUCCAACAUUAAGGAUUAAAUGAGUUAAGUUUAAAAAUGAGGAGGUUUAGUGAGAAAUCCUUGGCCAGUUGAGAAACCCUCGUUCGGUUAUUAACUAAAUCCCAACGUCACUGCAACGAAAAUUCAUUCUCUGUAGCAAAGAUUCGUUGUCGUAUUUGACUUACUUGUGUAAUAUUAAAGCUUUUAUUAUUCAAAUGGUUCGUUAUGUAUGGGUUAAUGAUUUUCAAAUGAUUAAUCAUUUAAAGGCUUGAUGAGGGGUUUUUAAUAAGAAUAGAAACAAAUUGCAUUGCUUUGAAAAAGAAUGCAUCAUAAUUUCAUUAAAGAUUCCUUAUGGUAUGCUUGUUCCUUUCCUUGUUCAUUCACUGAGUUUAUACUCACCACUUUCAAAUUCAUGUUUUCAGAUCAUGAGGCAGCCGGUAACUAGGACGAGGUGUCCUCAUAGACCUGUGUCCAUCUUUUGGUAGGUGUCUCGGCAUUCAGUAGCUGUACAUUCAUCCGAGUCCCUCUGUUGGAAGUCGAGUGUUAUUUUGUUUUGUAUAGACAAACUUAAUGUAAAUUAUUAGAAUACAUAUUGUAGACAUUGUAUGUAAAUUUUUAAGGAGUAACGCCAGUACAAGUUGGUAAUGUAUAUCACUAUUUUGAUUCAAAAGUAUGAAAUAUGACUUAGCGAUAUUUGAUGGAAUGAUGAGUAUGAUAAAUCGAUUGGCUUGCUUGGGCUUAAUAGACUAUGUUUAUUGGGCUCUUGCGCCGGUCAUGGCCCGAAAAUUUGGGUCGUGACAAUCAUUGCACAAUAUUCAAUAAUCACAAUUUAUGAUAAUCACAUUCUAUCAUUUUUAUCCAUAACAUAAUUUCACCAGUGAGUAUUAUUACAUCCACCCAUAAUCAUUAAGUGGUGGAGACUUACUCAUCCACUCUCAUAAUUAUAUGUUUAUAGGCAUUUUACCAUCCACGUUUAACAAUCAAGUGGUGGAGACUUACUCAUCCACUAUUAUAACUAUGUUUGUGGGCAUUUUACCAUCCACAUUUAACAAUUAAAUGAUGGAGACUUACUCAUCCGCUUUCAUAAUUAUGUUUGUGGUUAUUUUACCAUCCAAAUUCACCUUAUUGUAGAGGCGUCUCAUUUGACCCACACUAACACAAAGGCUAGGGUGGUUUGCCUAAUAUUUCACAUUCACACAUAAAUGGGAAGGUAUGUAUUCAUCUACCUAGGUUUCAACCUAGCCAAGCACCAAUUGCACAACAUACAUCUAAUCGAUGAGUAUUUGAAUAGAAUCAUUUGAUAGGGCUUGUAUUUCCCUUGUUGAAAACUAAUACGUAUUAAAGGUAUUUACUACAUAGUAGAUUGAAAUCUUUGUUGAAAAUAUUUAUUCUUAUACUAUACAAUUUAUCAAAACCAUAAUAUCAUUCAAAACAUCCAAGUCAUCCAAAUCGAUAAAUCAUGCUCAACGUUACCAUAUAAAGUACUUAAAGCAGUGUACCCACUCACCUCGAUAGGAAGUGUAUUCUUUUCCUAAGCUUUGUGUCAUAAAAAUCUUGCUCGUCUAGAAUCACGAGCUCUAGCAAUCACCUAUCACAACAAUUCUAGCAUAAAUCCCUAUUUCUUCAAUCAAACCCAUUUAUUGGAAACUAACUGAUUAAACUCAUAUUUUUUUGUUUCAAAUCAAUAACCCACAAUACUUCAAACCUUAAUCAUUAUUACCUUCUCAACCUUGUUGAAGACGCAAAAAAUCCCAAAAUCCUUGCUCAAAUUCAGAUUAAAUGAGUUAAAAUUUAUAAAACCUUUGAGUUAGAUUGAAACAUUAUGAUUAAAAUCCAAAAAUGCCAAAUCUUAAGUUAGAUUUGAGUUUGGAAGGUUGAAUGUUUGUCCAAUGGGGUUUUGAAAGGUUAGAGCAGGGUUUGGUGAUUGUUAGGGAUCAGUUGGAGGUUGAGAAAAUGUAUAGUGAAGGUUAUGGGUUGCUUUUAACACUUUAUAUACUAAUCUAUCAAAAGUCGCAAUAAUUGACUACCCAAAUUCUGUAGUCGACUAUGGUUGUGUUUUUUUCAAGAAUUUCAUACUUUUUGUUAUAAGAUCAACUAGGGAAGUUAUAGGGCUGACUAUGGUUGUGAAUUCUUCAAGAUUUUCAUACUUUCUGCCAUAGGAUGACUUGUAAACAUUGGGGCUGGAUCUUUCAAGUUCAAACUUGUUAAAAUACAUUCUUUGGCUUCCUUUUACAACCAUUCCUUCUCCCGUCAUUCAUCCAUUAAUUUAACACAAUAAUAUGGAGGGAUUUACAUCAAAUGACUGCUGGCUCCAUUAGUUUUUGAUGAUAAUAAAACAUUCCCAUUCAUUUAUGUCUAAUAUCUCUACUUAAGUGUGCAGGACAAAAAUUAUAAGCAAAUAAUUAAUCAAUCAUUCAAAUGCACAUAUCAAAGAGCAUAAGAAUAAGGAAGUCACAAUUGAUCAACAAGACAGAAGCCCCUUAAUCGAUUAAUGAAAAGUUAGUCAAUUAAGAUUUAAACCAGAAGUUGGCGGGCUGAAGAGUAUUGAGAGACAAAAAAGACUUAGUCAACCAAGGAAUAAGUUAGUCGACUAAGAAGCUACUGCCAGAAAUCUAGACUUCAAGACAAAACCAACUUAGUCGACCAAGAAAUAAGUUAGUCGACUAAAUGCUUACUGCUAGAAACUAGAAACAAAAAACAGAGACAACUUAGUUGACUAAGACAUAAGUUAGUCAACUAAGAGCAUUCUGCCAGAAAAUUUGAAUUGUGCACUAGAAGAUAGAUUAACGGCUAGAAUUGCAACAAAACUAUUUUCAAUGGUCAAAAACUAUCUAACUCACUUUAGAAUUGAUUUUCCAAGUGUAAAAAAGGGUUCCAACGGCUAGAAAUGUAAUGAAGGCUUCCAAGAACACAAAAAGAGCUCAAGAACUAGAAAAUAUUCUCUUCUCAUUUACUGCACUCAACUCCUAUCUUUGUAAUGGUGAACUGCACUUCACUUGGUACCACUUAGAUCAACCUUGUGAUCAUAGGUACACUUUCUUCACUUCUCUCCUUGUAUUCUUAGAGUGAGCGAGUCACUCUAAGGGAUUGAUUCAAGCUAGGAUUGCUUGAUUGAGUAUAGGUUUUAACUUAGCCUUGAAAAGUUAGGUGUUGGAUUUUAGUUGAUCCUUGUAAAAACUAUUGUGAAAGAUUUUGGCUAAGCUUGGUAAAAGCCAUUGUAAAAGCUUGGUGAAAGCUUAUGAAUUUCACCGUUCUUAGUGGAUUGUUUGGAAAAUCCUUGAUUGACCAAUCAAGGUAGUGGAUGUAGGUCUUAGACUGAUCCACUCUAACUCCGUGAGCAUUGUCUACUCUGUUUUUAUUUUCAUUGCUUCUCAAAUUAGUUUCUCAUGUUGUUAAGAGCCAAAUUGUGCUAUUCACCCCUCCUCUGGCACAUUUACUUGGGACCAACAAGUGGUAUUAGAGCCUAACCCUUGUUAUUAAGGUUUAAAACCCUUGGGAAGAUCCAAAUGGCUCUACAAAAAUCAGUAGUUGUUGAGGGACAAUCAACAAACAGACCACCUUUGCUUGAUGGCUCUAACUAUCCUUAUUGAAGUACUAGGAUGUCAAUAUAUAUUGGAGUAAUUGAUUAUGAGAUGUGGGACGUCAUAACUGAUGGACCAUUCAUUCCCUCAACUUUAAAUGUGGUGACCAACAAGAUGAUCCCUAAGCCAAGAUUUGAAUGGUUCAAGGCUGAAACCAAAAAGGUCCAAACCAAUUUUAAGGCUAUCAAUACAUUACAUUGUACUCUAAUUCCCACUGAAUUUAAUAAAGUAUCAAGCUGUAUCACAGUAAAACAAGUGUGAGAUUAGCUUAGAAUUAUUCAUGAAGGGACUUCUCAAGUCAAGGAGUCCAAGAUAGCCCUUUUAAUCCACAAUUAUUAAAUGUUUAAGAUGGCGCAUAGUGAAGAUAUCACCAGCAUGCUAGAUAGAUUUACAAAUAUCACAAACAAACUUAGUUAGCUAGGCUAACAAAUUCCCAAGCAUGAAAUUGUUAAAAGACUUCUUAGAAGCCUACCCAAAAAUUGGAAGCCUAAGGUGAUAGCCAUCCGAGAAGCCAAGGACUUAAAUGUUAUAACUUUGGAUGAAAUUUGUGGUUCUCUUCUUACUCAUGAGCUAGAACUCAAGGAAGAGGAAGAAAAAGAUAUGAAAGAAGCUAAAGAAAAAAAGAAGAGCAUCGCCUUCAAAGCCAGCAUUCUUGAAGAAGAACUGGAUGAGCUAUCCUGUGAUGAUGAUGAAAAACUAGCGCUGGUUGCUAAAAGAUUCAGAAAACUGAUGGGCAAAAGAAAUCGGAGACUAGCUAGAAGAGGGUUUAGAAAAGAUUAAGGUUCUUCAUGGAGACCCAAAAAUAAAAAUGACUCCAAUAAAAAGAAAGAGUUACAUGCUUCGAAUGCAAGAAGCCUAGACAUUUCAAGUUAGAAUGCCCCUUGCUGAAAGAAGAAACUCCAAAGAAAAACAAGAAAUCAAAGAAAGCAAUGGUGGCAGCUACUUAGUUAAGUAGUGAUACUUCAAGUUCUGAAGCUAAGGAAGAAAAAGUUGAAGAAAGAGCAAACUUGUGUUUGAUGGCAUAGGAUGAUGAAUCCGAGGUAUCCUCAUCCCCUUGCAAUAUUUCUGUUGAUGAACUUCAGAAAGACUAUGAAUAUUUGUAUGAUGAAUUUGAGAAACUUGUUUUGAAAAACAAGACUUUAAAGAAAAAAUCUACAUCUCUAGAAUCAAAUUUGGAAAAGAUUAAACUUGACUUUGAUUCUGUUUUUGAACAAAGAAACUUUCUGCAAAUUGAAUUGGAACAUUCAAAAACAGAUUUUGAAACUCUAAAAUUAGAAUUGGAAAGCAAAACUGAAGCCUUACAAAAGGUAAGUGAAGAAAAUGCUGCACUCAAAAGUUUAAAAAAUGAAACUUAAAGUAGAAAUUCAUACUUCAAGAAAAAUUAUGUUAAGACAUCAUCUAGGUGUUAUAUUUGCGAUAAAAUUGAUCAUCUAUCUUAUGAUUGUUGUAGAAAAAGAAAUGUGAAGAAAAUUAGAAAAAUUUUGGUUCCAAAAGGAUCCUUUGUUGCUACUAACAAUAAAGGACCCAUCAAGAUAUGGGUACCUAUUAAGAAAAACUAAAAAUUUGUUUUGUAGGUUCAACUACACUCAAAAGAUACAUGUUCAAGAGCUCAACUAAAGAAGAAGCAACCUUUGUAUAUGGACAGUGGCUACUCAUGGCACAUGACAGGAGAUGAAAUGCUAUUUGCUUAGCUAGACAAAAGAAAGGGAGGUAUCGUAUCCUUUGGUGAUGAUUCAAAAGGUAGAAUUCAUGGCAUAGGAACGGUUAGUAAGAACUCCCAAACUCAACUUAGUCAUGUGUUAUUGGUUAAAGGUUUGAAACAUAAUUUAUUAAGUAUUAGCUAAUUGUGUGACAAAGGUUUUAAGGUAUGUUUUGACUCAACAAAAUGUGAAGUGAUAGACAUAAGUACUAAUAAAGUCUCAUUUAUAGGAAGAAGAUUAAAGAAUAUGUAUGUUGUAUUUCUUAAGGAUCUUGAAAUGGAUUGUGAAAUAUGUCUUGUAGCAAAUGCUGAAAAUGAUAGUUGGUUAUGGCAUAGUUGUGAGACCUCGACCUCUAUAGGCUCGUAACUAGAUAUAGACGCAAUAACUCGGGCUGAGGGUAAUUUCGUCAUUUCCUUAGUAAGCCCCUAAAAGUAAAUUUUAAACAAUAUUAAGGCCUAAUUAGGCUUAAGGCAUAAAUGAAUGAUGAAAGUAUGGGUAAAAUGACAAGAAAACAAAAUUUUUGAUGAUUUUCAUGAUAGGGGUAAAAUGGUCAUUUUUCACCUCAGGUUAAAAUUUUUAAGUUUUCAUGAACCCGAGCAUUUCUAGACCAUUAUGGACCUUGUUCUAGUGUCAAAAGAGUAAAAAGCUUGCAUAAAGGAUUAGAAGAGAACAAAACAAGCUAAUUUGUGGAGGGGCAUUUUUGUAAUUUAAGUGAAGUGGAUAAGCAUGGGAUAUAAAUAUCUUGUUCUUCCAACAGCUUCUUUAUUCUCCAAUAGCUUUUCUCCUUCUUCUUCCUCUCAUCUCACGCUGCUUUCAUCCCCUAUGAAAGCUUGAUAAGAAAGCUCCACAACCUUUCUCAAAUAGCUCCAAAUUUCAUGCUUUUGGUGCACCCUUUCCAUAAACCCUUGUGCUCUUCCACUCUGUCUCCUUAAAACCCUUGAAAAAAUCUUAUUUCCAUACUCUCUUUCACUAGUUAGGUGUUUUAGAGAGAGAAAGAACAUGCUUCAAAAAUAGCUUGAAAGUUUUGGAAAGAAUUUCAAAUACAAGCUACUAAGGUGAGUAGUACACUAGAAUUGAGUUUUGGUGUUGAGAAUGAUUAGUGUUUAGAUUUGGCGGUGAAUUGGUAGUUGGGGUUGUUCAUUCAUUUUAGAGUGAUAAGGGUAGCGAGAAUAGAUAGCCAUUUAAAUGGCCAUUGAAAUCUAGCUAAGAGAAAGCUUUUAGAAUUUAUAAGUAUGUGGCUUGAACUAAUGGUGAUGCAAAUGUGAUAAUAGGUUCCAACGGAGCCCCAUCACCCCAUUUGGACAAUUAGAGAAGUAGAGUCAACAAAAGGUUCAACAAGAUACCGGUGAGUGAACUUGCAUUUCAAAAUUUAUUUUGGGAAUGUAAACUUAUUUGCACAAUAUACUUGAAUGAUUUUAUCCAACUUUCCUUAAAAACAAGUGCCUUGGGAACAAGCCUUUGAUAAAUUGAUUUUAUGUUAUGACAUGCGGUUGUUAUGGAUUCAUGCACUACUACUUUAUGUUGGUAUAUAUAUAGAUAUAUAUAUAUAUUGUGCAUGAUGGUUGAUAUUGUGUGAUAAUUAUAACCGUGUGUGAGCAUGAUGUGGGGGAAUGCACAUGCCGGUAAUGGUGGUGGUGAGGGAGAUAGAUGAUGAUAGUGCCCGUGUGCACGAUGUGGGGGGAUGUACACGAUGGCACUGAUUGUGCACGAUGUGGGGGGAUGCAUAAGAUGACUCCGGCUAUGUGCACGAUGUGGGGGGAUGCACAUGAGCUGGAUGUGAUGAUAGUGGUAUUAGUAUUUAUCCAUGUAUGUAUAUGUAUAUAUGUUUAGAGAAUGAAAACUCAUGUAUAUGGUUUAUGGUUGAAAUGCAUAUGAAUUUGGCAUGUUGAGCUUUGGAAAUCUUUAUGUGUUUUAUGUUGAUUUUGUAAUUUUAGCAGGAUGGCUUUUUCUUGAAAGGAAGGAAACUUUUUUCUCACUGCUCUGUUUCUCGCUGCAGCGAGAAACUCUCGGGUUGGAGGGGUAAGGCUGGUUGGAAAUCUCACUGUAGCGAGAAACUUUCUAUUUUAUGACCAAAAAUUUCGCUACAGCGAGAUUCAUUCUCGCUGUAGCGAAAAACUUUCUGUUUUGCUUCUCAUUUGGUUCGGUUGCUACUUUAUUUUCCAUUUCUUUGACACCAUAGUUGAGCAUGGACUUCCAACAUUAAGGAAUAAAUGAAUUAAGUUUAAAAUAAGGAGGUUUGCUGAAAAACCCUCGGCCAGUUAAGAAAUCCUCAGCUAGUUGAUAAUUUAAGUUAAGUGUCGUUGUAGCAAAAAUUCAUUCUCGUUACAGCGUAUGCCUUUUCGCUGCAGCGAGGACCUGUCGUUUAUUUAACUUGAUUUGCAUGAAUGCUAUUAAAGUUUUCACUCUCCAAAUCCUUUUUUGAGCAUGGACCCUUUUCAUAAAGUGAUUUACUCAUGUGGGGUUUACAUGAGGGGUUUUAAUAAGAACUAAAAUAAAUUGCAUUGUUUUAAAAAAUGAAUGCAUCAUGAUUUCGUUAAACAUUCCUUAAUGUUUGCUUGUUCCCUUCUUGUUCACUCACUGGGUUUAUACUCACCGUUUUCAACUUAAUGUUUUCAGAUCAGGAGGUAGUUGGUAAUUCGGUCAAGGUGACCUCGUAGAUUCGACUAUUGGUGGGUGUCUCGGCAUUCAUUAGCUGUACAUUUGCCCCGAGUCUCUCCCCUGGAAAUCAAGUCUUCUUUUUGAGAUGUAUAGACAACCCUGAUGUAAAUUAUUAAGAUACAUGUUAUAGACAAUGUAUAUAUAUAUACUUGAUUGACAUGCCACUAUGAGUUGGCAAUGUUUAGUAUUAUUUUGAUUCAAAGUUAUGAAAUAUGACUUCAGUAAUUUUGAUGGAGUAAUGAACAGAUCAUGAAAAUAGGCUUGCUUGGGCUUAGUGGGCUAUGUCCAUUGGGCCCAUACGCCGGUCAUGGCCCAGAAUUUGGGUCAUGACAAUAGUAGAUUUAGACAUGUGAGCAUGCAUACCAUGUCAAAGUUGAUUAGAAAAAAUUUAGUUGUUGGACUGCCGGAUCUUAAAUUUGAAAAUGAUAAGAUAUGUGAUGCUUGCCAACUGGGAAAACAAGUUAGAACAUCCUUUAAGACCAAGAAAGUUGUCUCCACAUCUAGACUUCUUGAAUUGAUGCACAUUGAUCUAUUUUGUCCAAUAAGUACAACUAGUCUAAGAGGAAACUCUUAUGGCUUUAUAAUAGUUCAUGACUACUCUAGUCACACUUAGGUAUAUUUCCUUGCUCAUAAAAAUAAUGCUCUACCAGCAUUCAUAAGUCAUUGUAGGAAGGUUGAAAAAUGAAAUAAAGACUAGCUAUAGUUAGUAUUAGGAGUGAUCAUGGAGAUGAGUUUGAAAGAGAUGAAUUUGAGAAUUUUUGUAAUAAAAAGGGGUUGGAUCAUAAUUUUUCUACACCUAGAACACCCCAGAAAAAUGGAGUUGUAGAGAGGAAAAACCGAACAUUGAAAGAAAUGGCUCGAACUAUGCCAUGUGAGAACAAUCUACCUAAAUACUUUUGGGCAAAAGCUGUUAAUACAACAGCUUAUGUCCUUAAUAGAGUGUCUAUAAGAGGCAUGAUAUCAAAGACUCCAUACAAACUGUACAAAGGUAGGAAACCAAAUAUCUUUCACCUUAAGAGCUUUGGCUGUAAGUGUUUUGUAUUGAACAAUGGUAAACAACCUUUAGGAAAGUUUGAUGCAAAGAGUAAUGAAGCUAUAUUUUUAGGACAUGCAUUAAACUCAAAAGCCUAUACAGUCUUCAACAAAAGAUCUUUAACGGUUAAAGAAUCCAUCCAUGUAGUUUUUGAUGAAUCCAAUACCUUGCAAAAGGAAAUUUUUGAUGAUAAACAUGACAUAGAUGAUCUUAAAAAACAAAUGGAAGAGAUGAGUUUAGAUAAUAAGAAAAAUAGUGAAGAAAUACCUUAGGUAGAGAAACAAAACCUUCACCCAUAGAAUCCCUACAAAGAAUUGAAAAUCAGCAUAAUGACCUUCCAAGGAGUUUGAGAUAUGCAAAAGACCACCCACAAGAACUAAUCAUAGGUGAUAUUUCACACGGUGUUAAAACUAGAAGAGCAACAAGAGAGACUUAUGGGUAUUUAGCUUUCAUAUCUCAAAUUGAGCCUAAAACAUUUAAGGAAGCAGAAAAAGAGGAAAGUUGGAUAUUAGCCAUGCAAGAGGAACUUGAUCAAUUCAAAAGAAACCAUGUAUGGUCAUUAGUCUCUAGGCCUAUAAACCACUUUAUUGUUGGAACAAAAUGGGUGUUUAGAAAUAAGGUAAAUGAGAAAGGGAAUGUAGUUAGAAAUAAAGCUAGGUUGGUAGCCCAAGGAUAUAACCAAGAAGAAGGAAUAGACUGUGAUGAAACCUUUACACUGGUUGCUAGGAUAGAAGCUAUAAGAUUACUACUUGCAUUCGCUUGCUUUAUGAACUUUAAGUUAUUUCAAAUGGAUGUAAAUAGUGCAUUCUUAAAUGGUUUCAUCCAAGAAUAAGUUUAUGUUGAGCAACCCCCCAAUUUUAAGGACUUUUAAAAACCAUAUCAUGUUUUCAAACUUCACAAAGCCUUGUAUGGAUUGACACAAGCUCCUAGAGCUUGGUAUGAGAGGCUUUCAAAAUUUUUGGUUCAAAAAGGUUAUCUUAAAGGUAGUAUUGACACAACAUUAUUGAUCAAAAGAUACUUAAAUAAUUUAGUUGUUGUUCAAAUUUAUGUGGAUGACAUUGUGUUUGGUGCAACUAAUGAGGCUUUAUGUAAGAAUUUUGCUAAAGAGAUGUAGGGGGAAUUUGAGAUGAGCAUGCUAGGUGAGCUGAAGUACUUUCUUGGCCUCCAAAUCAAACAAAGUGAAAAAGGAAUCUUCAUCAACCAAGAAAGAUACAUUCAAGACAUGCUCAAAAAAUUUGAUAUGCUGAAGUUGAAAUCAAUUUGCACACCAAUGAGUCCAUCCACCAAACUUGAUGUAGAUGAAAAAGAAAAGGAUGUUGAUCAAAAGCUUUAUAGAGGUAUGAUCGGAUCACUACUCUAUUUAACAGCCAGCAAGCUUGAUAUUCAAUUCUCUGUGUGUUUGUGUACUCGUUUUCAAUCUCAACCCAAGGAAUCACAUCUGACUAUUGUUAAAAGAAUUUUUAGAUACCUCUUAGAUACACAAACUUUAGGAAUAUGGUAUCCUAGGGAAUCAUCCUUUAGUUUAGUUGGAUAUUCUGAUGCAAAUUUUGCUAGCAACAAAACAGAUAGAAAGAGCACUAGUGGAACCUGCCAGUUUCUAGAUAGUAUGCUUGUGUCAUGGUCAAGCAAAAAGUAGAAUUCAGUUGCCUUGUCCACAGUUGAAGCCAAAUAUAUAUCUCUAGGCAGUUGCUGAGCUCAAAUCUUGUGGAUUAAAUAACAACUAAAAGACUAUGGAAUAUCAAUGCAUAACAUACCAAUAUAUUGUGAUAAUACAAGUGCAAUCAACAUUUCAAAAAGUCAUGUGCAGCAUUCCAGGACUAAGCAUAUUGAGAUUAGACACCAUUUUGUUAGAGAUCACAUAGUGAAAGGUGACAUUGAAAUUGAGUUUGUAAAUACUUUACAUAAAUUAGCUGACAUCUUCACAAAACCCUUAGAUAAGGAUAGAUUCUGUGAGAUUAGAAGAAAUUUAAGAAUGGUUAGUAUGUAGGAGCUUUAGGAAAAAUUUUGAAAUUUUCUAAAAAGAUAGUAGGCACUUAGUUGACUAAGAGAGGCACUUAGUCAACUUAGAGCAUUCUGUCUCUUUAAAUAAUAAGACUCAGUUAGUUAGAGGAGAAUGAAUAAAAUAGUAAAAAGAAAUAGUAUAUCGGGUGAAGGAAAUGGGCACAAAAUACUUCCCAGCUGAAAAAUAAAAAUGAGAGGCAAUUUUCAAAUUUUGAAUAGAAGAAAAAUUGACAAUAUUUUAAGGGGAGGCAGACAGUUUUUGGAGAGAUUAAACUGCCAUUAACUCAUUUCCUCUACAUUUUCUCUCCUUUGAAAUCAACCCACCUAAAACUGAAACCUACCCACUCAAAUUCUCGAAACCCUCAGUCAAAAAUCUCUCAAAACAAAAUGGCAAAAUCCUCUCUAACCAAAGAGAUUGUUGGGAAGAAGAAAGGUAAACGACCAUUUGAAAUAGGCAUGCAAGCAGAAAUAUAGAAAAAGAAAUAAAAAAUUGUGUCUGCAUCUGCAAGUGAAAAAUCUGGAAAAUUACAGAAAGAAAAGGAGCAGAAAACAGAGAAGGGAAAAUCAUCUAAGAAAGGCAACAUCUCAUCCUCCAAGUUUAAGAAUAAAGCCCAUGAAGAUAGAUACAGAAAUUAGAGAAUGCCCCUAUCACUUGUGGUAAAUUCAUUGACUGGAACAGUUUUAAUGAAAUUCCAAAAAUUCAAACAAGCUUAGCAGAUUAUUUUAAGGAAUUAAAACUUAAGGAGUUCAGUUCAUUUAAGAAUCGAUCCUAUAGUGCUAGUUUAUUUAAAGAAUUUUAUGCAAGUAUAGCACUAGACAAGGAUGAAAUAGAGGAGCUUGAUGAGUAUAUUGAGAAUGGUCUGAAUGUCUUUUUGAAUGGGAAGAAAUUUACUAUUACUGUUGUAGAUUUAGAGAACUUACUUAAAAUCAAAUGUGAGGAAGGUGAGUUUGAGUUCCCAGAAAAUUAUGAUCCCUCAUCCUUAUGGGAAAUUAUCAUAGGGAAGAAAGAAAAAUGCUCCUCCAAAAGUAAUGUCGGCCUUAUUACAAGUCCUCAAAUUUGGAUUUUGCAUUAGUUUGUUGCUGGAACAUUCAUGGUAGGAGUGGAAGUUUUAGCUACAUUAUCCUCCAAGAUCUAUGGCUAAUGAAGCAUGCAUUUAGUGGUGUUUCACUGAACCUAGGUGGACUUAUGAUUGAGAUAAUGAGAGGAGCAUGUAGACUGGAGAAAAUAAAUUUGCCUUAUGGAAAUAUCAUCACAUGUCUGGUGCAGAAGAAAGGUAUUUGGAGCUAUAGGUAUGAAGCAGAUAAAGUAAAAAGUAGAGACCAAGCCAUUUACCUUGUAAGUUUGCCUAAAAUGGGGUAUAAGCUAGAUGGAGAAACCUUUGUUAAAACCCCCAAGGUUGCUACUGGAAAAGAAACUUCUCUACCUACACAUCCUAGAGCAUCCUCAUCUUAGUUCUCUAAUGAGAUGCUUUUUAACUUGCUCAUGAGGAUUGAUGGAAAGCUAACUGACCAAGGAGUAAGGAUGCUAAAAAUUGAAGAGAAAUUGGCAGAGCUUGAAAAUGUGCUGAAGGAAAAAGGAAAAAUGCCUUCCGAACCUACAGCUGUAGAUACCUCUAGAACUCCAAGUCUUGCAGAAGGGCAAGGUGCUGAAGGGUCUACUUUCUAGGCCGAGGGUCAAGAAUUUGAAAUAGAUCAACUAAGGAAAACCCCCUCACCUGAGCCACAAAAGGAAGCUGAGUCAGAACAAGGGAUUGAGGUACUUGGCUCACUGGAUAAGAAUCGUCCAUCCCCUUCAGAACCUUAUAAAGAGCAGCCUUCUCCUCCUCAUUCUUAGGAAGUAUCCAUCAUGGACAUUUUCCAUUAGAUGGUCAGGAAAGAGCAGGCAGAAAAGGAAGCAGCUAAAGCAUAAGCGCAGAAGUCUGCAUCCACUGAACCAGCUCCCACAGCAGAAAAACAAUCGGGUAAAGGAAAAGAAAAAGCUACUGUAGCUCCACAGGCCAAAUCAAAACCUCUUGGCAAAAGGCAUGAAAACAAUGGCAACCAAGACCAAAUUCCUCAAAAGAAGAAAAUCCUCUAGAAUUGCUGAAAAGGCUAGACCAACAACCAUUUCCUCUCCUUAAAACCCCUUGGAAAUUUCUGACAAAUCAUCCCCUGGAUAAUCACCACAAAAAUCACCACCAGAACCCUCUCCCAAACCUCUAAAUGUUUUUUAGGGCACUGAUGAAUCUACUUCUUCAACCUUUUUAGAGGAUUGAAACCCCCCUCAGAUUUAAUGAUGAAAAAAAGUGGGAGAAUUAGGAGAUAAGAAACUGGGGAGAUAGAAAGAGGGUAGAAAAAAACUAGGGAUAAUUUAGGAAUAUUGACUGUUGUUUUUAUUUUCCUGCUAUUUUUACUUUGACAGUUGAACAAUUAAAUUUAACUUUGAUGUUAGAUGUUUUUGAAUGCUGAAAGACAUUGUGGUUUAUUGUUUUUUAUGUUUACAAGUUGAUGGUUGAAUAUUUAAAUAUGUUAUUGGAGUAUCUGCCAUUGAGUUUCUACUGCUGCUUUGGUGAUGAUAUUGAGCUAUUGUGCUAAUCAUUAAUAGUUGAUAUGAUAUUAUGAGUGAGAUUUAGAUGAAAAUAAAUAUGAAUGCUGAUAUUUUUUACUAUAUGGUUUAUGGCAUUUAGCUUUGCAAUGAAUUAAGUCUGGAAACAAUAUGACAAACAGCAAGCUGAAAUAGUAAUAAUGUUCUGUCAUCAUGUCACUUACUGCUUAUUAUUCCAUAAGCUUGUAUAAAUAUAUUUUGUCAAAAAUUUGAACCUUUACAUGUCAUUUUCUGUAUAACAAGAAUAAAAACAUGCUGAGAUGAAUAAUAAAACUAUGCACACACUAAGGGGAAGCACACACUUAGGGGGAGGAAAACCUCCAUUUUGUGCAGAAGUAAAAAGAAUAAAAAGACAUUAUGUUUUUAACCAAGGAAUGUUUUGUUAUCAUCAGAAAGGGAGAGAUUGUUGGUUCUAUUAGUUUUUGAUGAUAAUAAAACAUUCCCAUUCAUUUGUGUCUAAUAUCUCUACUUGAGUGUGCAAGACAAAAAUUGUAUGAAAAUAAUUAAUCAAUCAUUCAAAUGCGCAUAUCAAAGAGCAUAAGAAUAAGGAAGUCACAAUUGAUUAACAAGAUAGAAGCCCCUUAGUCGAUUAAUGAAGAGUUAGUCAGCUAAGAUUUAAACCAGAAGUUGGCAGGUUGAAGAGUAUUGAGAGACAAAAAAGACUUAGUUGACCAAGGAAAAAGUUAGUCGACUAAAAAGCUACUGCUAGAAAUCUGGACUUCAAGAUAGAACCAUCUUAGUCAACUAAGAAAUAAGUUAGUUGACUAAGUGCUUACUGCCAGAAACUGGAAAUAAAAAAUAGAGACAACUUAGUCGACUAAAGGCAUUCUGCCAGAAAAUUUGAAUUGUGCACUAGAAGACAGAUUAAUAGCCAGAACUGUAACAAAACUAUUUUCAAUGGGCAAAAACUGUCUAACUCACUUCAGAGCUAAUUUUCCAAGUAUAAAAGAGGGUUCCAACAGCUAGAAAUGUAAUGAAGGCUUCCAAGAACACAAAAAAGCUCAAAAACCAGAAAAUAUUCUCUGCUCAUUUACUGCACUUAACUCUUAUCUUUGUAAUGGUGAAUUGCACUUCACUUGGUACCACUUAGAUCAACCUUGUGAUCAUAGGUACACUCUUUUCACUUCUCUCCUUGUAUUCUUAGAGUGAGUGAGUCACUCUAAGGGAUUGAUUCAAGCUAGGAUUGCUUGAUUGAGUAUAGGUUCUAACUUAGCCUUGAAAAGUUAGGUGUUGGGUUUUAGUUGAUCUUGGUUAAAACUAUUGUGAAAGGUUUUGGCUAAGCUUGGUAAAAACCAUUGUAAAAGCUUGGUGAAAGCUUGUGAAUUUCACCAUUCUUGGUGGAUUGUUUAGAAAAUCCUUGAUUGAACAAUCAAGGUAGUGGAUGUAGGUUUUGGACCGAUCCACUCUAACUCCCUGCGCAUUGUCUACUCUAUUUUUAUUUUCAUUGCUUUUCAAAUUAGUUUCUCAUGUUGCUAAGACCCAAAUUGUGCUAUUCACCCCACUCUCGCACAUUUACUUGGGACCAACGAUGACAAGGAAUUCUCACAAUAAAUGUCACCAACAUAUAAUUCAUCAAAGUUCAAGUUUUCACCUAAUUUCCAUAAUACGAAAAAUUAGGGUUCGCAUUCUUUACCUUUUAAGAAAAUUCAUACUUGAAUUUAAAUUAACAUACUAGUCUAAACUACUAAAAAUAGACAUGGAUACUUUUUCGUCAUCUCGUCCUUGAGCUCUUACAUUCACUAGAGUGAUUUCACCAUUGCACUUUUACUAAGGCUAUCUUCUUGGAGCGAAGUUUCUUAACUUGGCUAUCUGGUAUGGCUAUAGGCUCCUUUACAUAACUCAAGUCAUCCUCUAAUGGAAUAGUCUUGUGUAUUGAAUCACGUGAGAUGGAUUUAGGCGAUGCUUCUUAAGCAUCAAAAUGUGAAAUACCAGGUGAAUGCUAGCAAGAUCUGGCAAAAGUGCUAGCUUAUAAGCUACAACGUCAAUCCUUUCGAGGAUCUCAAAUAGGCCAAUAUACCUUGGGCUUAACUUGUUCCUUUUACCAAAUCUCUUAAUGCCUUUGGUUGGAGAGACUUUAAGGAAUACAUGAUCACUAACCUUACACUUUAAGUCUGACCAUCGAUGGUUGGCAUAAGACUUUUAACGACUAGAUGCCAUCAACAUUUUUUCUCUAAUCAACUAUAUCUUGUCAAUGGUCUCUUGAACCAUCUCUCGUCCAAGUAACUUCCACUCACCAACCUUAAACCAACAUAUGGGUGACUUGCAUCUCCAUCCAUAUAUAACCUCAUAAAGCACCAUCUAAGUGUUGGACAAGAAAUUGUUAUCAUAAGCAAACUCAACCAAUGGCAAGUGUCAAUCCCAAGUGACUCCAAAGUCUACGACUCAAGUUCUCAGCAUAUCCUUUAAAGUCUAAAUUGUCUUCUCUGACUGACCAUCCAUUGUGAGUGGAAAGUAGUACUAAAGUUCAACUUAAUCUUCAAAGCUUCCUGAAUUUCCCCCUAAAAUCGACUAUUAAAUUACGUGCCUUUAUCUAACACUAUAGUGACUAGAACCCCAUGCAAUUGCACUGUCUCAUCCAUAUACAAACGAGCAUAUUGAGCUACUCCAUUAGUGGUCCUCACUAGCAGAAAAUGGAUGGACUUAGUCAGUCUAUUUACAAUCACCCAAAUAGAAUCAUAUCCCUUACUUGUAUAGGGUAGCCCAAUCACAAUCCAUAGAAAUAUGCUGCCAUUUUCACCUGAGAAUAGGCAAAGAUUGCAAUAAUCUGAUAGGCCUCUGAUGCUUUACCUUAACUUGUUGACACACUAAACACUUGGCCACAUAUUUAGCUACAUCUUUCUUUAGGCCUGCCCACCAAUACAUUUCCCUCAAAUCAUGAAACAUCUUGUAGGUGCUUGGAUGUACUACAUAUGCUGCCACAUGGACCUCCUCUAAGAACUCUCAUUUCGGAUUAUCAAUGUUGGGGACAUACAUUAUAGACCCAUAUUUGAGUCAACCAUCUAUGCCUCUAAUGAACAAUUGCCCUUUCCUCUCUCAAGGAUCCUCAAAAGCCUUUUCCAUAAAGUCAUCCUUGCUUUGGGCUUUGUUGAUACGAUCCAUCAACAUCUUCAUUCUAAAAUGGGCUAAUAGUGCCUCUGUAUUAUCAAUCUCAAAUUGAAUACCCAUAUUGCCCAAGUCGUGCAUUAUUUGUACUAGUGAUCUUUUAUCAAUUGGGAUGUGGGCUAAACUUCCCAUAGAUUUUUGGCUUAAGGGGUUCGCUACAACAUUGGUUUUGCCGAGAUGAUAUAAUAUAAUGCAAUCAUAGUCCUUAAGCAACUCCAUCCAUUAAUGUUGCCUAAAGUUGAGAUCUCUUUGCUCAACGAUCUAUUUAAGACUCUUAUGGUUUGUGUAGAUCUCACAAGUCUCACCAUAUAGAUAAUGCCUCCAAAUUUUUAAGGUGAAAACUAUGGCUACCAUCUCCAAAUCAUGAGUGGGGUAAUUUUGCUUGUGCUUUUUAAGUUGUUUAGACGCGUAUGUAAUCACAUUUCCAGUUGCAUCAGCACACAUUCAAGUCUAACUUGUGAUGCAUUGCAAUAAACUGUGUAACCCUUUGUACCACAUGGCAAACUCAACACUAGAGUUGUGGUAAGACAAGUCUUAAGCUUCUCGAAGCUCUCCUCACAUGAGUUUGACCAUAUGAACUUAACACCCUUUUAUGUUAACUUAGUCAUAAGAGUAGCGAUCUUAGAAAAAUCCUUAAUGAACCUAUGGUAGUAGCUGACCAAUCUCAAGAAACUACGGAUCACUGUCACCAAUGUCUGCCUUGGUCAUUUCUCCACCACCUCUGUUUUCUUUGGGUCCACUUUCACCUUGUCUUUAGACAUUAUGUGGCCCAAUAAGCAUACACUAUCAAGACAAAACUCACACUUGGAGAACUUGGCAUACAACUCAUGCUCCUCAAAGUUUGUAGCAUGAUCUUUAAGUGUUACUCUUGUUCUUCUUGACUCUUUAAGUAUACCAAAAUAUCAUCAAUGAACAUGACCAAGAACUUCAUUAAUCAAAGUGAAGUCCUUACCUUGGUUGUCAUUUUCCAACCUUGACAGAUGGUCCACUACUUGAUUCUCCAUGCCUUUUCUAUCUCUAAUUUCCAAAUCGAAUUCUUAUAGUAGCAAUAACCAUAUAUUCAGUCUUGGUUUGGCAUAUUUCUUAGCAAUCAAAUACUUAAUUGCAAAGUGGUUAGUAUAAACAAUAACUUUUGUGCCAAUCAAGUAAGAACGAAACUUAUUAAAUGCAUAAAUAACAACUAACAAUUCUUUUUCAGUAUUAGUGUAAUGCAUAUAAGUUUCAAUCAAGGUUUUGUUAGUAAGCAUAUAGAAUGAAAACUUAAGCUUUUCUCUUUCCUAAUAUUGCACCUAUAACAUAGUUACUAGCAUCACACAUAAGUUCAAAUAAGAGUGACAAAUCAAGAACUAUAAUAAUGGCUGUAGAUGUCAAUCUCUUUUUCAAUUUUAUAAAUACAGCAUGACAUACACCAUCAAAUUUAAAAGGAACAUCCUUUUCCAAGAGGUUACAUAAAUGUUUAGUAAUUUUGGAGAAAUCCUUAAUGAAUCACCUAUAAAAACAAACGUGACCAAGGAAACUUCUAACACCUUUUACCGAAUUUGGUGAUGGAAGCUUCUCAAUUGUCUCUAUAUUCGUUUUGUCCCGCUCCAAUCCUUUUGCAUGAAACCUUGUGACCACCAAGUCUUUAUUUUGAAAUAAGCAACAUAAUUGAAUUUUUAUGAAAUAAGAGAGGUUAAGAACACAAAUCAAAUUGAGAUAUAGAGAAAGAAAAUCAACAUAAUAGUUUUUAUAGAGGUUUGGCCUCCUUGCCACCAUCCUCUCCUUUAGAUUCAUUAAGGAGUUGAAAAUGUACUACUGAAAUAAAGUUCAAUACAAUGCCUUUUAUAGAUCAAGCACAACCAUUUUAUCUUUUACUUUGGUUAAGGUAUAACCACUCAAAUACUACCUUUUCAAUUGGUUAAGGUAUAACCGCUUACAAGAUUAUAAUAAAUGAGAUGGGUACAACAAGAAUGCCUCUUAAAGGAUGAGUAACAAGAUAAGUACAAUGCUUGGUGAUGAGGAAAGUAAGAAAUGAAAUCACAAUAAAUGGUACAGUUGAAGACUUAAAUGGUUUGAUAAGAGAAUAAAGAUUAUUGAAUGAUUGAAGCUAAAUUUUUCUCUUGGAAUUUUAUCUCAAAGUCUUUCAACCUUCAUAAAUGUGGUGGGAGCUUGUAUUGAUACUUGUUGAAACUUCUUGAGGUAGUUAGAGGUGCAUUUAAUGCAAAAAUAGCCAUUUUUCUUUAUAGUAUAGGCUCCAAUAGUCAUUAUCUAUUGAUAGAUAUUGAUAUCUAUCGAUAGAUUGCCAUCUUUAAUUUCAAAUUCAUGCCUAUCUAUCAAUAGAUAGAAGAAUCUAUCGAUAGAUACAAGUCAAGGGACCUUUGAGAUGCUCUCGAGUUGUUAUUUUUCGAUAGAUGGCAUUGAUCCUUUUUGCUUGUUUUCAAUUUAAAACACUUAGCUCAUUCAUUUAAAUAAUUUUAAAGACUUUUUAGACUUGUUUGAACAUCUGAAAAAUAAUUUUGAUCGCUUAUUUGUCAUUUCAAAACUUAGAAUCAAAUUGAAGUGAUAAAUUUAACAAUCUCCCCCUUUUGAUAUGACAAAACAAUGAGUAAAAUUUGUUUUUGUUUCUUUAAAAUACUUCCCCUAACUUAAUCCACCAAUUGUUUAGAUGGGGUGUGUGAUAAGUGAAAUAAGCACUCCCACUUAGUCUUUUGAAAAUUUGAUCCCUCUUAACUUUUUGAAAAUGAUUUUUUGUAAAAUGAGGAACAGAGACAAAUUUUUGACUACCUUGCCCCCUUUUUGUAAUAUCAAAAACAUUUUGAGGUUGUAAGGAAGGUGGAAUCAAACGGAGCCUGGUAAAUGCGAAAUUGCAAUUAAGUUAAGCAUAAUGGAAAUUGAAAUUGCAGUGUGAUAUAAAUUUUGGAACAAGGAAGUGCAAACUAAUGUCAUAUUGAAAAUAAUUGGAGAAUAUGUAAAUGAUCAACAUUAACCAUAAAGUUCAAACAUAACGAAAUAGAGAGAACAAACAUCCAACGACAAACAAAUAGUUACAUCCAAAAAUCUAUAAAUAGCAAACAUGUAUGUACAUCAAAAAAUCUAAGUAUGAUCAUGAACAAGUAAAUGCAUAAAAAAUUACAUGAUGCAUGAGAGUGAAAUGCACAUGUAGCCAUCCAACCAAGGUGUUUGUAAAUCAAGGCGAAAAUAUGUCUCCUCUGAGGACUCAAGACAGUGGCGAAAAUUGAAUUUUGAACUUAUCCUCCAAGUCUCAUUGGCACUGUAGAAUCUCACAAUUUUGUGCCUUGAAAACGUCCAUACGAAUAGUUAACCUAGAGUCUAUGGUUUCCAUAUACGAGAGAAGUCUAGUGAAGGCCUAUUUGACAUCAAAUGUGUCACGACCCGGUACUCCCUUCGAGCCCAUGACAACCGCCGUGAUGUCUCGAUAGACAUUCAUUACUCGGAAUGUCAACUGAAACCUCGCAAGGCUCUUGCAUCAAUUUUAUGUCUCCCCUGUGAGCAACAGUUACUAAAUAUCAUGUUUUAAGGGAAUAUAAACUAUUUUAAAAUAAAAAACAAACAAAAAGUAGUUUCUGCCACACAAGGCUAUUUUGGUCAUUUUUACCCGAAAAUUUUGAAACCUGGUGAAAAUACAACUUACAAUCGAAAAAUAUACAUUUCUUAUCUAAAAAUAAUUUUAGAAAUCUAAAUCAUCCAUUUAAAAUGAAAUUAUGGCUAAUCAAACUAAAUAAUAAUAUUAAAUAAAAUAUUUUAUUUUCUUAUAAAACAAUAUUUAUAGAAUCCUGUAUAAACAAUUUUUGUAGCGUAAGAGUAAAAUAUAUUCAUAUAUAUAAUAGCACACUAAACCAGGUAUUCAAAAAUAUUCUACAAUGACAUGUGGGCCCAAAAAUAAUCGAAAAUAUACAAGACUGUAGACCUUCGAUUUCUAAGGAUGCAAAUCCAAAAGCAACCCUCGACAAAAUCGGUUGUUUAUAGACUGUUCUGAGCCUGAAAUGGGUAAAAAGAAGGGGUGAGUUUCUAUAAACCUAGUGAGUAAGCAAAGUUCAUCUAGAACAUCUAAAGCCGAGUAAAUGGAGACAGUUAAAUCAUCCCAUCAUGAUAUAAUUCAUAACAUUCCAAAACUCAUUUCAAUUCAUAUAAAACAAUUACAUUUCAUCAAAAUAAUCAACAAGGCUUAUGAUUCUCUUAAAAACUUGGCUUGUGCCAAAACUCAUACUCUAGGACACCUUGGCCCGAGCAUCCCAUCGAGUCCGCCAAGGAUGUUAAAACGACAUACACCCAUAAAACAUGUUUUUACUUUUUAAAAUAUAGCCAUUCUUUGGCGUUGGCUGAGUUUCAUCCUCACGUGGUGGUUCGGCGUGAAGUGAACUCUAAACUUACCUUUGAAGAUACCCUCCGUACCUCUCGUACUAAGGUAAAUAUAAUAGGGUUUACCGUGCCCCUCUAAUAGGCUGGUCCACGGAAACCCGCCCACUGCAGUAAGCUAAAUACAUAACCCACCAAAUUAAUAAAAUUUAAGUAGCAUAACAUGGCUAAUAUAGUACUAUCCAACCUGUCAAUGUAAAACAAAACAAUUUAUAUAAUUCACAAAACCACAAUUUCAGCCAUUCAUGCCACCACAAUUUCAUAAGUCAGCAAUUCAAAUCAUGUAUAUAUAUAAUACGAAUGCAUAGCCUCCACUUACUCUAUUUUGAAAAUCAACAUUUAGUUUCAGAAUAAUUUAUAAAUCUCAUUCAUUUAACCAACAUUUAAAAUGUAAAACAUAAUAAUUUGCAAAUUAAGUGCCUUAUUCUUUAAAAUCUUAAAACAAGUAUAAACCACUUUAGAUAAUUAAGAUGAACAUCUGAUUACUCACUAUAAUGGGAAUUUGGAGUGGUAGGAGUACUCCUAUUCUCAAUCCUCCGGCACGAUAUCUUUGCCCUUAUCGGGGGGUUCAGCACCUAUCCAUAAUACAUGAUACGUAAUUCAAUACAUUGUUGUCAAAUUGUUAUAAAACUAUUUCAGACUCUAUAUGCAUGCAUGAAGUUGAAUGAGAAAUGUUCGGAUAGUCACUUAAAGACGGUGUUCUACGUAGGUUCAAUUGUGAUCGGAAUGAAUUUGUAUUUGACCUAAUUCGAACUAUACACCAUUGAUUUAACCAAAACAUCCAAUUCAACUCCAAAUAUAUUCAUUACACUUCCAAUAAUCUAAUACACCAAAGCAUUACAAUGAACUUUAUUUUUGACUAACUUUACCGUUUUCCAAAAUUCAUUCCGAUUUCGAACUAACACUCUAAUCAAUGUCUACACAGUCUCGUAAAUCCAUAUAUAUCAUUAGGAAUCAAAUCCAAGUCCAUUUACUAUGAUUUUCUCAGUUUCCAUCAAGCCAUUUUCUAAAGGAACUACACUUUUCAAUAACCGGUUUCGAUAUCCAACAUCAUAAUUCAUCAAUUCCUAGCUAAAUAACAUGAAUUACAACCAAAUCCAUCAUCAACAUGCCCUAUAGAAAAUUCAGCCAAAUGAGGGUGGUUGAAGAACAUGUGAUUUUCUUGCUUGUUUUUCCUUCCAAACAUCACCAAAACUUCUCUCUCUAGGUUUGGCCAGCAAAGGUUUCCUCUUGAAAACUUGAAUUUCAGCCAUGGAGAAUGAAAAAGAAUGCAUGGGAAAGGUAGAUCACAAGCUAAAAUAAAAAAAAUCUUACCUUUACUUGCUUGAUUCCUUGAAAUCCAACAAUUUCUCUUGGAUUUUUCCUUCCUAGGGUUUGUUCUUCUCUUUUUCUCUUUGUUCCCUUGCUUGGCCGGCCAUAAGAGUGUGAAUGUGAGGGUUUUAAGUGAGUUUAUAUAGGCAAUUAAAAUAAUAUUAAAGCUUGACACUUGUCACCUUUUAAUUGGUCCAUGUUUAAAAACUUAAUAAUUAAGCAUUUCAUUCCCACCACAUAUAAUCUCUCACUUAAAAAAAUAAUGGGUGAAAUUCAUGGGUUUGACAAGUGUCAUGGUGUAUAAAAUUCCAAAAUUUCCAAUUUCGUCCUCAUGGACACUUAAAAUGAUCGUUUUGCCCUUAUGUUCAGAAAAAUGUCGAAAUUGAAAAUUUUCACUUCUCAAAUUCAAAUAAUGCUCUAAUUAAUCAAAUUUAGUCAAAAUAUCAUCCAAAAUUCCAAUUUUGUCGUUGGGUGCCAAAAUGACCAUUUUGCCCUUACGUUAUGAAAAUUCUCGAAUUAACUCCAAAUUAAUCCUUGAAUUUUGAAUCAUCAUAUUAAGACAUUCUAAGAUUCAAUAACUCUCAAAUACAUCGUAAAAUCUUUAUUUGGCCUAGUUCGAGGCUUUAAUCAACUUAAUUGUACCACUAGGUACAAUACCGACUUUUAAUGAUUUUUCAAUACAUUCACUUUUGCAAACAUUCUAUCAAGCACAUGAAUGACAUGACAAGUAUAUAAUAGAGUAGGGCUUGACAAAAUGUGGUGGACAUAGGAUAGCUAGAGCUAAGUGCACUAGGCUAAGCACUAGAUGGACCACUAUGAUAGGUAAUCGACUAAACCUUGUCUCCCUCAUCACCCUCAUCAUUAGCUAAGACCAGUUCAUCUAUGACUCGUUUUCUAACUUAAGUGCUAUUUUUAAGCUUAAAAUCUAACUUGUUUAAGGUGUGUUCAUCAAUUGGAUUGAACAAGGUAUGGGUAUUAGGUGGAUCAUAUUGUGUAUCAACAUUAAAAUGAUUGAUGAUCUCGCUGACUAGCAUGCUGUAAAGGAGGGUUUUGAUGCCUUUAUUGACAAUGCGUGACAUAUCAUCCAUGAUGAAUUUGGAAAGAUUAAUGAGGUGAUUGUUUUUGAAGUGGUAAAUAAACCAAAAGUCUUCACUCGUGACUAUGAAAUAAUUUAAGCCAUGAAGGCAGAUAGUGUGGGUGAUAAUAAGAUGGGGGACUUGAUCAUAAAAUGAAAACAUUUUACAACUAAAACCCCUUUUUUCAUUUAAAAAAAGAUAGACAAAAAUGGAAUGCAGUGCAACAUCACUAAAAAUAUAUUGCAUAUCACCUUGUUGGACUUUUAGAUGCAAGACUCGAUCUAAGAUCACAAGGGUGACAAGGAUAUGUUUUCCCAUGACAUGAGUGACCAAACUAUCGUCAUGGGUUACUAACUGACCAGUCUCGAAAUUAGGAAAUUUUACGGUGCCAUUGAAAAAAAUAUUCUAACUAAGUUCUCAUAAAAUUUCUUAUUCAGUUGCAGAAAAUGCAUCCAACCUAAUCAUUGUAGGUUGACAAGGUAUGGAAAAUCAAUGGACUCUAAGCAUUGAAAAUCAAUAAUGUGGCAAGGCAUUACCUACCAUUUGCUGAAGUCAACCUUGAAUUUUUGGUCAUGGGAUGGGUGGGUGAAAUUGCACUAAAACGUAUCCCCUGUUGGUUGUGUGGAGGCUUUAGCACCAGUAGAAUCGCAUGAACCCCUCCGAGUAGUCAGCUUUGUGUUUUUUUGUAUGUGGUUCAUUUUGGGAUUUUGGUGAUUUGAGAGUUCUAGGGAUGUUUUCAAGAAACAAAUUGGUAGAAGUGUGUAAGAUUGUAAGGGGAGAAGUUUAAUCAGAAUAAGUUUACCUAAAACUGACGAAAAUCCAAGAAAUUUGAAAAUUUUAAACUUAGGAUUUUAUGGAACCCUAACUCAGAUUUUGGGUAAAUUCGAGGUUAUGUUGGGUAAAAUUUAUUUUUUUAACACUCAAAGUUGUGAUAAGGACACUUUAAAUAGAUUAGAAUUGAAGAAAAUCACAAACAAGUUGAGAGGUUAGGAGGAUAGGGGUUUGGGUGCCGCAUGUUUGGGGAAAAAAUGAACUUCAGAAAUAUUUCAAAUAGUACAUCUAUUGAUAGUUGUAAACAAGUAUUAAUAGAUGGAACUUGAACCAUUUUAUUGUUGGCCACAAGUAUCUAUCUAUUGAUAGACAGUUUUAAUUUAUCGAUAAAUUAUGCACACAAAUUUUAUAUUUGGUCUCAAGUUCUUAUAUAUUGAUAGAUAAGAGUGAUCUCUUGAUAGAUAGUGCAUGGGAGUGUUAAUGUUGGCCUCUAGUUGCUAUCUAUCGAUAAUUAUUUGGUAAUUAUAGAUAGAUGUUCUUGUGUGGCUUUGAAAAAUCUGAUUUUUGACUUCUAAAAUCAUGUGAGAAGGUUUAGAAAUGAAUUUGAUUGAAAAUAAGCUCAUAAUUUGUGCAAAAACACUUGAAACAUCAUUUUGGACUAAGGUAAGUGUAGUUUUUGGAUCAAAGACCUUGAUUUGUUGCAAAAAUUCUCUUUUCCACAUUGUUUAAAGUAUCCUUUGAGUUGGAUUGCCAUGCACAUGUACGGUAUCAUGAAUAUAUGAGUGUUAUGUAGUUCAAUUUUACAGAAUAAAUCAAUUUUGCUUAGGUAAUCAAUCAUUUUUAACAUUCAACAUCAUCAUCCUUUGCAAUCCACCAAUGUAUCUCACUAUCUCAAAACAUUUGCAGCAAGAAUUAUCAUAAAUGACUAAUUUGACACAUCUUUCAUCUAAGGUGGAUUUAUAUGACCUAGUUCACUUCUUAAUUUGAAAAAUUCUUCUCUUUCGAGCGGUUUAGUGAAAAGGUUUGCUAGUUGGUCAUUUGUACCUACAUAUUCAAGAACAAUAUCUUCCUUUUGAACAUGGUCUUUAAUGUAAUGAGGCCUUAUUUCUUCGUGUUUAGUUCUAGAGUGAUGGAUGGGAUUUUUUGUGAGAUUUAUGGCACUAGUAAUGUCACAUUUAAUGGGAAUUCUUUCCAUACCUAGUCCAUAAUCUUUUAUUUGUUGCUUAAUCCAUAACACUUGAGCACAACAACUUUCGACAACCACAUAUUUAGCUUCUGUAGUGGGUUGAGCUAUAUUAUUUUGUUUCUUAAAACCAUGAGAUCAACAUGCUACCUAGAAAUUGACAUGUGUUGGAUGUGCUCUCUCUAUCUAUUUUGCAUCCACUAAAGUCAACAUCCAAGUAUGAGUGAAGAUCAAAGGUAAAACUCCUUAGAUAUCAUAUUCUUAAAUUGGAUGUGUCUUUUUAAGUAUAUAAAAUUUCUUUUGAUAGCACUUAAGUGAGGUUUUGUAGGUGAUGAUCGAAACCUAGCACAUAAUCCUACACUAACGCUUAUGUUUGGUCUAUUAGCGGUUAGAUAGAGUAAGGAACCAAUCAUAGAUCUACAAAGCUUUCGAUCAACAACCGUACCUUUUUCAUCUUGGUCAAGCAUUGUUGAGGUGCUCAUGGGAGUGUGGUAAGUUCUUGUGCUUUUCAUUCAAAACUUCUUAAGCAUGUUUUUUGUGUACUUGGCUUGACUUAUAAAUGUACCAUUUUUCUUUUUUGUUAUUUGAAGUCCAAGGAAGUAAUUUAGCUCACUCAUCAUGCUCAUCUCAAAUUCUCCUUGCAUAGUUAUAGCAAACUCUUCACCAAGUAGCUCAUUACCAAAAAUUAACACAUCAACAUAAACUUGCACAAUUAAAAUGUCUUUACCUUUGCUUUUAAUGAAAAGAGUUUUAUCAACGUUCCCUCUAUUAAAAUCAUUUUUGAUUAAAAUUUUUGAUAAAGUCUCAUACUGUCACGACCUGGUACUCUCCUCGAGCCCGCAACAACCGCCGCGAUGUCCCGAUAGACAUUCAUUACCCUAAAUGCCAGCCGAAACCUUGCAAGGCUUAAUAUCAGUUUUCGCACCUCCCUUGUGAGCAAUAAUUACUAAAUACCAUAUUUUAAAAGAUUAUAAGCUAUUUCCAAAUCAAAACAAUAAUAAAAAAUAUUUUAUGUCUCACAAAGGUAUUUUGGUCAUUUUUUCCAAAAAUUUUGAAACCUACUGAAAAUAUAAUAUAUAGGGGAAAAUACACAUUUCAUAACUAAAAACAAGUUUUUAUGUCUAAAACAUUCAUUUAUGGUGAAAUUGUAGCUAAUAGAAUAAAAUAAAAAUAUUAAAUGAAAUAUUCCAUUUUCUUAUAAAACAAUAUUUAUAGAACUCUGCAUAAAUAAUUUUUGUAGCGUAAAAGCAAAAUAAAUCCAUACAUACAGUAACGCAGAUAGCCAGAGUAUGUAAUUUAAUUUACAAUGACGUGUGGGCCCCCGAAUGACCAAAGGUAACAAAGGCUGUGGACCUACAAUUUCUAAGGAGGCGAGUCCAAUAAUAACCCUCGACGUAAUCAGCUAUUUACGAACUGUCUAGAUCCUGGAAUGAGUGGAAAAGAGGGUGGUGAGUUUAUAUAAACUUAGUGAGUAAACAAACAUCAUCUAAAAUAUCUAAAGUCGAGUAAAUGGAGACAACUUAAAACAGUUCAUCGUAUUAUGAUUCAUAACGUUUCAAACUCAUUUCAACUAAAUAAAAUAAUUUCAUUUCACUCAAAUAAUCAACAUGGCUUAUGAAUUUCUUAAACAUUUGGCUCGUGCCAAAACUCAUUCUCGGGGAUACCUUGGCCUGGGCCUCCAACCGAGUUCACCAAGGCUGUUAAAAAAAAGUUCAUAUACGCAUAAAACACAUUUUUACGUUUAAAAGCAUCGCCGUUUCUUGGCGUUGGCUGAGUUCACCCUCACGUGGUGGUUUAGCGUGUAGUGAACUCUAAAACUUUACCUCAAGAGAUACCCUUCAUUCCUUUCAUAUCGAGGUAAAAUAUAACCAAGUUUACCGUGCCCCUUUCUAAUAGGCUGGUCCAUGGAAAUCCGCCACUGCAGUGACUAAUCAAUAUCCCACCAAAUCAAUAAAAGUUUCGACCGCAUGACAUGAUAAUUAUAUUACUACCCACCCUGUUAAGGCAAAACAAAUAGUUCAUACAAUUUCAACACAAUUUCCAAUUCAGCCAUUCAUGCUAAUAUCACCAUAAGCCAUUCAAUUCAAACCAUAAAUUUACAACACAAACAAACAGUCUCUAAUUACUCAAUUUCUAAAGUCAUCAUUCAAUUUCAAACUGAUUUAUAAACUCAUUUCAUUUAAUCACAUUUUACUUAUAAAACAUAAGGAUUUACCAUUUAAACUAAUUUUUCUAUAAAAUCACAAAAACGAAUAAAAACUACUUUAGAUAAUUAAGACGAUAAUAAGGUUACUCACAAUAUCGGGGAGUCGAAGUACUCUUAGUCCCGAUCUUCGGGUACAAUCUCCUUACCCUUAUCGGAAGUUUCACCACCUAAACAUAAUGCACAACAAGCAAUUUACUAUAUUUGUAUUAAACCGUUAUAAAACUAAUUUAGGCUCCAUAUGAAUGCAUGAAAUGGGAUGCAAAAUAUUCAGAUUAUUAUCUAAAUAUGGUGUUCUACGUAGCUUCAAUUAUGUAUCGAAAUAAAAUGGUAUUAGCCUAAUUAGAUCUAUACAUCGGUUAAUUGGCCAAUACAUCCAAUUCAACUCCAAUUAACUUGAUUCCACUUCCAACACUCCAAGUCAUCAAUUACAAGUUAAAUAAUAUAUAAUAUAACAAAAAUCCAUCAUCAAUAUCUUCCUUGUAAAAUUCGGCCAUUGAAGGUUUAGUGUAGAACAUGUAAUUUUCAUGCUUGAUUUUUACACCUUACAUCAUAAACAACUAAAAACACCUAAAUAGCAUGAAAUUCAUCAAAGUCCAUUAUCCAAUUUCUCUCUUGAAAAUUUCAGCCAAGGAUUGUGGGUGAAGGGCAUGAAAUUUCUUACUUGUUUUUCAUGCUAAACAUCACCAAACAACCAAAAACACAAAGAUACCUUGAAAUCUAACCAAAUAAAUCAUCAAAUCUUCUCUCCCUAAAUUCGGUCAGCCAUGAAUCCUUCAUGAGAUCUUGAAUUUUAACCAUGGUAAUUGAAAAAGAAUGNNNNNNNNNNNNNNNNNNNNNNNNNNNNNNNNNNNNNNNNNNNNNNNNNNNNNNNNNNNNNNNNNNNNNNNNNNNNNNNNNNNNNNNNNNNNNNNNNNNNNNNNNNNNNNNNNNNNNNNNNNNNNNNNNNNNNNNNNNNNNNNNNNNNNNNNNNNNNNNNNNNNNNNNNNNNNNNNNNNNNNNNNNNNNNNNNNNNNNNNNNNNNNNNNNNNNNNNNNNNNNNNNNNNNNNNNNNNNNNNNNNNNNNNNNNNNNNNNNNNNNNNNNNNNNNNNNNNNNNNNNNNNNNNNNNNNNNNNNNNNNNNNNNNNNNNNNNNNNNNNNNNNNNNNNNNNNNNNNNNNNNNNNNNNNNNNNNNNNNNNNNNNNNNNNNNNNNNNNNNNNNNNNNNNNNNNNNNNNNNNNNNNNNNNNNNNNNNNNNNNNNNNNNNNNNNNNNNNNNNNNNNNNNNNNNNNNNNNNNNNNNNNNNNNNNNNNNNNNNNNNNNNNNNNNNNNNNNNNNNNNNNNNNNNNNNNNNNNNNNNNNNNNNNNNNNNNNNNNNNNNNNNNNNNNNNNNNNNNNNNNNNNNNNNNNNNNNNNNNNNNNNNNNNNNNNNNNNNNNNNNNNNNNNNNNNNNNNNNNNNNNNNNNNNNNNNNNNNNNNNNNNNNNNNNNNNNNNNNNNNNNNNNNNNNNNNNNNNNNNNNNNNNNNNNNNNNNNNNNNNNNNNNNNNNNNNNNNNNNNNNNNNNNNNNNNNNNNNNNNNNNNNNNNNNNNNNNNNNNNNNNNNNNNNNNNNNNNNNNNNNNNNNNNNNNNNNNNNNNNNNNNNNNNNNNNNNNNNNNNNNNNNNNNNNNNNNNNNNNNNNNNNNNNNNNNNNNNNNNNNNNNNNNNNNNNNNNNNNNNNNNNNNNNNNNNNNNNNNNNNNNNNNNNNNNNNNNNNNNNNNNNNNNNNNNNNNNNNNNNNNNNNNNNNNNNNNNNNNNNNNNNNNNNNNNNNNNNNNNNNNNNNNNNNNNNNNNNNNNNNNNNNNNNNNNNNNNNNNNNNNNNNNNNNNNNNNNNNNNNNNNNNNNNNNNNNNNNNNNNNNNNNNNNNNNNNNNNNNNNNNNNNNNNNNNNNNNNNNNNNNNNNNNNNNNNNNNNNNNNNNNNNNNNNNNNNNNNNNNNNNNNNNNNNNNNNNNNNNNNNNNNNNNNNNNNNNNNNNNNNNNNNNNNNNNNNNNNNNNNNNNNNNNNNNNNNNNNNNNNNNNNNNNNNNNNNNNNNNNNNNNNNNNNNNNNNNNNNNNNNNNNNNNNNNNNNNNNNNNNNNNNNNNNNNNNNNNNNNNNNNNNNNNNNNNNNNNNNNNNNNNNNNNNNNNNNNNNNNNNNNNNNNNNNNNNNNNNNNNNNNNNNNNNNNNNNNNNNNNNNNNNNNNNNNNNNNNNNNNNNNNNNNNNNNNNNNNNNNNNNNNNNNNNNNNNNNNNNNNNNNNNNNNNNNNNNNNNNNNNNNNNNNNNNNNNNNNNNNNNNNNNNNNNNNNNNNNNNNNNNNNNNNNNNNNNNNAUUUACAGUGACACAUGGGCCCACGAACGACCAAAAGUAUCAAAAGAGGUAAACCUACAGUUUUUGAGGAUGCAAGUCCAAUUGUAGCCCUCAAUGAAAUGAGCUAUCUACUGACUAUCCUGAGCCUGAAAUGGGUGGAAAUGAGGGUGGUGAGAUUAUAUAAUCCUAGUGAGUAAACAAAUACCAUCUAAAAUAUCUAAAGUUGAGUAAAUGGAGAUAGAUAAAACAGUUUAACAUACUGUAAUUCAUCACCUUUCAACUCAUUUCAACCAAAUAAAAUCAAUUCAUAUAAAUCGAGUAAUCAACAUGGCUUAUGAAUUUCUUAAAACUUUGGCUUGUGCCAAAAUCAUUCUCAUACUCAAUUAUCAAGGAUACCUUGGCCGAGGGCUAUCCCAACAGAGACCGCAAAGGCUAUUAAAAAGUUAUGUAAGCAUAAAUCAUGUUUUUAUUUUGAAAGCCUAGCCGUUUCUUGGUGUUGGCUAAGUUCACCCUCACGUGGUGGUUUGGCGUGAAGUGAACUCUAAAGUUUUAACCUCAGGAGUUAUCCAACCGUGCCUCUCAUACUGAGGUAUGAAUAUAAUAGGGUUACCGUGCCCUUCUAAUAGGCUGGUCCACGGAACCCGGUCCACUGCAGCGACCAAUAUAUAACCCACCAAUUUAAUAAAAUUCAAUAGCAUGACAUGGCAAUUAUUUUAUUUUACAGCCUCUCAAGGCAAAUUAACAGUUCAUAAAUUUUCAACACAAAUACUAAUUUAGCCAUUAAUGCAAUUAUUAUCAUAAGCCAUUCAAUUCAAACUAUGAUUUAUAACAUAGCAAUUAGUCUCCAAUUACUCCAUUUUCAAAAGCAUCUUUUAAUUUCAAGACAAUUUUAUAAAAUCAUUUUCAUUUAAUCACAUUUUACUUAUAAAACAUAAAGAUUUACCAUUUAAACUCAUUUUCCAUAAAAUCACAAAAUCGGAUAAAAACCACUUUAGAUAAUUAAGAUGAUAGUAAGGUUACUCACUAUUUCGGGAGUUGAAUUUCGAGUACUCUGAUUCUUAAUCCUCGGGUACUAUCUCUUUACUUUUGCCAGAAUGCUCAGCACCUAGACAUAAUGCACAAUAAGCUAUUUACUACAUUUGUGCUAAAUUGUUAUAAAACCAAUUCAGGCUCUAUACUAAUACAUGAAAUAAAAUGUAAAUUGUUCAGAUUAUUAUCUAAACACGGUGUUUUACACAAAUUCAAUUAUGUACCUAAAUAAAAUAGUAUUGGCCUAAUUUGAUCUAUCACCCGAUUACUUGGCCAAUAUGUCCAAUUUAACUCCAAAUAAUUCCAUUUUUCUUCCAAUUCUCCAAACCAUCAAACACAAGUCAAAUAGCAUAAAAUUUAGCAAAAUCAUCUUCACAUUUUCUUUUGGGAAUUUCGGCCAUGGUGGGUGCAUCAACAUUAUAAUUUUUCAAGCUUGAUUCUCACACCAUAAAUCACUAAUUCCUAACCAAAUCACUUGAAAUAAAAUCAAAAUCAUCAUCAAUAUUCCACUUGAAUUCAGCCAUUGAUUGGUUAUAGGAGAAAAUGAAUUUUUCUUGUUGGCUUUUCAUGCUACACAACACUAACUAACUAAAAACACUAAAAUACAUUGAAAUCUAACCAAAUCAAGCAUCAAAACUCCUCCCCCGAUGUUCGGCCAGCAAGGUAUCCUCAUGCAAACUUGAUUCUCAACCAUGGAAAACGAAAAAGAAUGCAUAGGAAAGGUAGAUCACAAGCUAGAAUUGAAAAAUCUUACCUUUUGUCACUUGUUUCCUUGGAUUUUCACACUUUUCCCUUGAAUUUUUCCACCUAGGGUUUUUUUGUUCUUCUUUUCUUCCUUUGUUCUUCCUUUGGCCGGCCAUAUGAAGAGAAAUAGGCUGAUUUUGUGCUAAUUUAUAAGGAAAAUAAUAAAUGGAUUAGAAUUUGACACAUGUCACCAUUCCAUUAGUCCAUGUGUCAUACUUAGUCAUUAAGCAAUCUCUCUCCACCACUUAAAUUUUCUCAAUUAUCCAUGAUAAUAUUGGGUAAAAUCCAUGUGCUGGACAAGUGUUGGGUGGUGUAAAAUUAUAAUUUUGCCCUUGGGGUGGCAAAAUGACUAUUUUACCCCUAUGGUCAAAAAAAUGUUGAAAUUAAAAUUUUUCACUUCUCAAACUCAAAUUAUGUUCUAAAUAGUCAAUCUUGAUCAAAAACUUCUUCCAACAUUCCAAUUUUAACCUCAGGUGGCAAAAUGACUAUUUUGCCCCUAAAUCAUGAAAAUUCCAAUUUGACUCUAAAUCGGUCCUCGAACUCCAAAUCACCAUUUUAAGUCAUUCUAGGAUUUUAAAAUUCUCAAUUUCAUCUUAAAAUCUCUAUUUGGUCUAGUUCGAGGCUUAAAUCAACUUAGUUAUACCAUUUGGUACAUUGUCGUCCUUUAACGAUUUUCGAGGUACCCAAGUAAGCAAACAUGCAUUCUUAUGCAAGAAUGGCAUAAUAAACAUAUUGUAGAGCCGGGCUUGAUAAUUUUCAUCCAUUUUGUUUUUAAAAACCCAUUUAGUACCUACAAUUGAAUAGUUAUUCAAUCUAGGAACUAACUUUGUUUGUAGUUUAAGCUCAAUGCAAUAUAUACCAAGAAGGGGGUGAAUUGGUAUUUUAGAAAAUUCUUUGAAAACCAAGUGUAAAAAAAAAAAAUCUUUUGCAGCCAAAAAUUUCUUCUUGUGUCUAAAACUAAGUGUAUGAUUUUUCUAAAACAAGUAUGCAACAAUAAAUCACAAAGCAUGAAAGUAAAUUGAGACACUUUUAUAGUGGUUCGACAUUCUCUAGUGCCUACAUCCACUCCAUUGGAAACCAAGGAUUUUCAAAUUGACUCAAGGAGUAAUGCUUUUUAUGGGAUCAAGCAUUAAACACUCAAGAAUACCUAUAAAAAGGCUGGGUGCUAAAAGUUUAAGAUUUGUGUACAAAGAGAAGAAAUAAUUUGAAGAAUUUCAACUCAAGGAUUUUCAAGUGAUUGCGUGAGGUUUUAUGGCUUUUGAAUGCUUGUUGGAAGACUAAGAUAAAAGGCUAGAGAUAAAAGAUAAUCUUGAGGGUCUUUCUGGGGUUUUCAAAUGAAGUGUUGAUCUUCUUUUACUUUAAAAUGACUCAAAGGUGGCCUUUUAUAGUUACAAGGAUGUUUAGAGCCAUUAGACACAAGUUUGAAUUAAAUCUGGCCAUUGCUAAAACUUGAGCGUCAACUAAAAUGCUCCUAGGGUCAAUUAUGUUCUUCAAAAAUAUCAAAUUAGGGUUCUAUAGUUGAGUAUAAGCUUCCUUUACUCGAUCUAAUACUUGAAAGCUUACAUUUUUCAGAUUUUGGCUGAGGUAGUCUACUACAGUAUCUUGAGGGUUGACUACGUUAGGAACGACAUGAUUAGAGCAUCAACAUAAUGGAAUAACCAAAAUUGAAACAAAAUAAAAACCAUACCUUCUUCCUUUGGAUCACCUUAGUUGUUUAAUGCAAAGUUAAACACCAUAGAAAAUUAGAAAAUGGUUUUUACUCUUCUAAAUGAUAUCAUAAUCAAAUGGAUUCCUUUUGGAGUUGGAAAAUGUUAACACCUUCUUAUGUGAAAAAAUCCUAGCCAUUCAAAUGCUUAGCCUCUAAUGUUACAGACAUGAUUACAAUAAAUCCUUCUUAAGGAGAGAGCUUUAUGCCACGGGGUUGUGCUAAUAAGUGGAAAACGAUUUGUCCUCUUUUCUUCUUUGAUUUCUAGCAAAGAAUCAAUGGAGAAGUUAUCUGAAAAAACCCUCUCAAGAGUGGCAGUACAUAAGAGGAAAACUAUUAGUUUUUUUUUUCUUUUGUUGCUUUAGAAAAGAGUGGCUAUAAUGUGAUAUUUAUAUCUAGGUUUAAUUUUAUUAUUAGACUUAUUAAAAUUUGCAUAAUAAGUCCUUAAUGUUAUCACAAUUAUAAUAUUUAACUAAUGCCUAAUUAAACUAUUUUAAUAAGGUCUUUAGUAGUUAAAACUAGAAUUGAUCUAAGUCUAACUUAAAUCUUCAAACUCUCAAUUUAAUUCAAAUUGCAACCUUUGUGUGUAACUUGUUAGGUUCCCAACAGUUGGCAAUAGAAUUGAAUUAUAAUUUUAUUAAUUAAUUAAAUUAAACGAAUCAUAUUUAAUUUUAAAUUAACUAAUUCAAUUCCGUAGACCAAGAUUGGCAUCUAACAAUGCAUCAUGGCCACCCAAAUAUUAAAAGAGUUAAAGGAUUCUUUGACAACCUUUCGGUGUACAGUUUAUUAGUGUAAUUCAUUCCUAUUAGGAAUUUUGAGAAUAUGGUGCACUGGAAAGCAAGUAUAUUCUCAUGUUUAAUUUCAUUUAAUUUAUUUUGCAAUGAAAGUACAUUUUGAUAAUAAGGGGAAGAGUUUGUUUUAAGUAAGCAUUCAUUAUCUAGUUAUUAAGGUACCAUGAUUCUAUUGAUAUAUUAAAAUACAUUUGCAUGAAGAGUCAUAUAUAAGAGACAUGUAUUUCAAUUAAAUCUAAAAAUUGUUCACAACCAUAUGAUAAAGUUGGUCACUUUAUUGUGUUAAGGCUAUAGUGUCUAGAUUACUUCCAAUGAAACGAAUGUGAUUCAUUUCAAGGGAAUGAUGAGUUUUAAAUCAUCGAAAUGGUUGACUUCAAGUAAUGACACUAUAACAUGAAUUGGAAUCAUGUGAGAAACAAAUUUAAGUUUAACCAAUACUUAAAUCUUGAUCUCACACUUAUGCAUUUGUUUAUUGUAGAACCAAAAUCCUGAUAGAUAGUGGACUCAUGUUUAAUCUCCUUAUAAUCAUUGAUAUACCACGAGCAUGAUCAUCAUAAAGCAUUGAUCUAGACUCUGUAUGUUGGGAUUAUAAUCGAUAUGAAUAUCUAAGAAUACAUAUUCAAGUAAUUUCAAGAAGAUUGGUGAUUAAUCUGGAGCCAGUGAAUUGAUGAAUUAGCUACUUAUCACAUUUGGAUACUGAAAAGAUUAGAUCUAGAGUAUUGAAUCACUAAUUGGAUUAAAUUUGAGAAUAGGGGACAAAAUUGACAUAAAAGUAAAACAGUAAUUUCACUUGUCAUUGGAUGGUUAUGAGGGUUCACAAUAUCAGGUUUGCAACUGGACAACUACUAAUUAAUAUCAAGUAUUGAAUCAUUUCUUAUAAUUAUAGUUAAUCCAAGAGUGCAAUAAUAAAUCUAUGGUGGAGUGAUUUCAUGGCUAAUAAGCUUGAAUUGUCUUAAUAAGAUUAAGAAUAAUUCUAAAUUUAUUGGACCUCGAAAUAUCUUUGUCCAAAUAGAUUUCCCACUUAGCUUCAUAGAAUUCAACUUAUUUAAGUUGGAAUGCAUGUUUUAUUUCAUUAAUUAAAUUGUGUACAAAAAUGGUAGCUUUAAUUUGUUUUGUCUUAAUUCAGACAAAAAAACAUAUUUGUCUUAAUUUAGACAAGAAAACAUGUUAUGUCUUAAUUUAGACAAGAAAAAAUGUUAUGCCAUAAUUUAGCCAAGAAAACAUGUUUGUCUUAACUUAGACAAGAAAACAUGUUUUGUCUUAACUUAGACAAGAAAAAUAUGUUUUGUCUUAAUCUAGAAAAGAAAACAUAUUUGUCUCAGUUUAAACAAGAUAACAUGUUAUAUUUUAAUUAAAGACAAGAGUUGUCUUAAAUUAAGAUAAUGCUAGGAGGAUUCUUGCAAAAUGAAUCUAGACAUCCAUGUUGAUAAAUCGAAACUCCAUGUUUGAGUAUCAUUCUUUUAUUUAUUAUUAAUUCUUUUUAAAUAAAGAUGGAUAAUAAUAAAAUAAAAGUUAUCAUUCAACAAGGAGUUUUAUUUUAUCAAGAACUCUAAAAGAUAAAUAAAGAAUUAAAUUAUUUCUUCUUUAAUUUUAAUAUUGAUAAUUAUAGAGCAUGUUUGAUGUAUCCAUAACUCUAAAUGGAUGGCACUCAGUGCUUACAAUAUCCGAAAUACAUUAUUUUCCUAAACUUUAAAAUUUCAAAAGCAAAAGCUAGUGUGGACUGAACUCAGGGAAGUGACCAAAAUGGGGGACCUAUUGGAUGCCAAAAAUUAGUCUAUCAAUGGACAACCUUGCCACACAUUGUCUAGUGACCUAUUUAUUUGCACAUGGUACAAAAAUAGGUGAGCAAUAUAAUAAUCAGUGAGUGAUGCACAUAAUCAAAAUUAUAUACAUAUAUUAAACACAUAAUGAACAUUGCACUUUCAAUGCAUCUACAUGGUCUAGCAAACAUCUCUAAAUAUAGGGCAUAUCAUUAUCCCUAAGUCUCUAAUAUACAAGCAUAUCAUCAUCCCUAAGAUCUCCGAAGAUCAUCACUCACAUCAUUAGACUUACCCCUCGAAGUUAAUCAUAGUCAGUCACUUCAUUCUCCAUGGCACACUUUAGUCAUAGGAGUAUUAUAUCGAUUCAUAUCAUGUUUAUCUAAGCCUCUCUCAAAUUAUCUCACAUUGUAUACCAAUCAAAUCACCAAGUGGUCCUCCCUUGUACAUAGUUAAAUCAUGCAUAGUGGCUAGCUAGCGAAAACACAAAUCACACACAAGGCAAAGUCAUUGAUGGAGCACAAGUCACACGCGUGCCGAAGCAAAGGGCAAAGAAUCAAAUCACGUUCAGCGUCGAAGUAGCUAGCAGAGAAUCAUAUCAUCAACUAGAGUAAUCUCUCAAUAGUUGACAUUACCCGAAGUAAUCUCCCAUCGAUGGGAUUGCUUGGAGUAAUCUUUUGACAAGCUUCAUCUUGGCACUACAGGCGAGAAUCACAAGCGAGACUAGUCCUUUAUUCUCUGCUUACCACCAUCCUUGCAUGCACACACACACACAAACUCAUAGGUUAACAGGAACCACUCAACCUCAAGUCAAAUCAACGUACAGAAUUCAUCCCUUGGACUGACCAUAAAUCCACAAUGAGACCACCAUAUCUCUAUCUUUCCAUAUGUCCAUAACAUAUCAUAAAUCACAUUUAUUGAGCUUCAAUCGUCUAUAAGCUCGUUUGAAUUGUAAGUGCUUUAAUGAUUCAUAAAUCAAAAUGUCAUAUAACUUAUUUGGCCUCAUUAUCCUCACAUACAUAAACAAUUCACAUCAAAUAUCAGAAUACAUAGCCUCACAUGCUCAAGCAAUUAUGCCUCAAUAAUCAUAGCUUAAUGGCCACAAAUGCAUCAACAAUCUCAUUUUAAAUCAGUCAUUGCCGAAUAGCCACAUAUACAUGAGCAAUCUCUCAUCAAAUCAUUCAUUAAUAUUUCAUUGACAAUUAGGUAAUCUAUCCCUACGUCAUGGUGUGACCAUCAUAUUAACUUAGUCAUAGCAUAUCCAUAAGCCAUUAAGAUCAUACAUCACCUAGAUGUCUAAUAGCUCAUGCUUCUCCAUAGUAAUUAGAAACAAACACAUAUGUUAACAUCUAUUAACAUACUAGCCUAGGCAUACUUAUCUAGGCAUGAACAUAACAACGUAGUACCAUGGCAGUUCAUAUUAUCAUGCGUAAUCCAUCACAUGCAUUGUCAGAGGAUUCAAUCCUUAGCCUCUAACCAUCCGCUAACUCACAAACGUGUCCAAUUUGCUCAAUCUUCCUUUAAGCACAUUAAAACAUCAUAAAAGUAAUUAAAUUUGGACUUUCGAAAAAUGUUAGCUUUUUAAAAAUAACCAAAUCUUUAAAGAUCCAACACAUAACCUCAAAUCCUUCAAUAAUGAGCUAAACCCAUACCUUAGGGGCUGGAUUGUACAAUUCCUAUCUCCAAAUUCCCUAGCAAACUCAAGGGAAAAAUCUUACUAAAGCUAAUCCAAAUCAAAUCUAAGUUAUUAACUGAUUAAAUUGAAAGUCAAUUGGUAAAAACGCUUAAUCUUACCUUUAGAAGCGUUUCCCAAGCUCCAAUCCACCUUAAAUAGCUUUAAAAAUUAUUUUACGAGGUUAGGGUUUUGGGUUUUAGAGAGAGAAAAUAAAAAUCAUAAAUCAACCUUUUGGAAAUUGGAAUCCUUACCUCCAACACUUAGAAUCCCAAACUUGUUGAUGGAGUUUGGUGUGUUUGAAGGAUAUGAAAUUUGAGAGAAAAAGGUGGAAGAACAAAAUUGAAGGAGAAAAAUGAAGAAAAAUUGAGUUUUAGGGCUUUUAAGCCCAUUUUUAACUAACUAGGCAGUUUAGGAUCAACUAUGGUGGAUUUGUAGUCAAUCUUGGGCCAGUAGAUUGCACCUAUUUUGUCAAGCCUGACUCUACAAUAUGUUUAUUAUGUCAUUCUUACAUAAGAAUGCAUGUUUGCUUACUUGGGUUCCUUGGAAAUCGUUGAAGGACGGUAUUGUACCAAACGGUACAAUUAAGUUGAAUUAAGCCUCAAACUAGUUUGAAUAGAGAUUUUAAGAUGAAAUUGAGAAUUUUAAAACCCCAUAAUAACUUAAAAUGAUGAUUCGGAGUUCGAGGAUCGAUUUGGAGUUAAAUUAGAAUUUUCAUGACCUAGGGGCAAAACGGUUAUUUUGCCACCCGAGGUUAAAAAUUGGAAUGUUGGAAGCAGUUUUUGAUCAAGAUUGACUAUUUAGAAUAUAAUUUGAGUUUGAAAAGUGAAGAAUUUUAAUUCCAGCAUUUUUUCGAGCAUAGGGGUAAAAUAGUAAUUUUGCCACCCUAUGGGCAAAAUUGUAAUUUUACACCACCCAACACUUGUCCAGCACAUGGAUUUUAUCCAAUAUUAUCAUGGAUAAUUGAGGAAAUUUAAGUGGUGGAGAGAGAUUGCUUAAUGGUUAAGUAUGACACAUGGACCAAUGGAAUGGUGACAUGCGUCAAAAUCUCAUCCAUUCAUUAUUUUCCUCAUAAAUUAGCACAAAAUCAGCCCAUUUCUCAUUCAUAUGGCCGGCCAAAGAAAAACAAAGGAAGAAAAGAAAGAACAAGAACCCUAGGUGGAGAAUUUCAAGAGAAAAAGUGUGGAAAAUCAAGGAAAACAAGUGAAAAAUGUAGGAUUUCUUAAUUUAAACUUGAAAUCUAUUUUCCUUAAGCAUUUCUCCUUAUUUUCCAUGGUUAAAUUUCAUGUUUUCAUGGCGAAUUCAUGGCUAGCCGAAUGGGUAUGGAGAGAGAAUGAUGUUGGAUUGAUUUGAUUUCAAGUUAUGUUAGUGUUUUUAGUUAGUUUACCAUGUCUAAAAGCAAAACAACAAGAAAAGAAUUUAUUUUUUCCAUCACCCAUCAAUGGCCGAACCUACAUUGUAUUGAGUGAGGAUGAAUUUGAUUUUUUUAUUUUAAGAGAAUUGGUUAGAAAAUGAUGAAUUAUGGUGUGGAAAAGUAGUAGGAAAAAUCACGGUGUUAAUGCACCUUUAUUGACCAAAAAUUCUAAGAAGAAUAGUGAAGAUGGUUUUGCCAAAUUUUAGGUUAUUUGACUUGUGUUUGGUGAAUUAAGGUAUUGGAAAAGAAAUGGAGCAAUUUGAAGCUAAAUUGGAUGCGUUGUCCAAUUAAUCGGGUGAUAAGACGAAUUAGGCCAAUAUCGGGUUUAGAUGGUUACCCGUACAUUUUACAUUCCAUAUCAUGCAUUAGUAGUCUAAAUUAGUUUAAUUUCGAUUUAGUACCAAUGUAGUAAGUUUCUCGAUUUUGUACUAUGUCAAGGUGGUGAGUCCUCCGAUAAAGGCAAGGAAAUUGCAUCCGAGGACCAUAGUUAGAAUACUUCAAAAAUCUGCACUUUAGACAUUGUGAGUAACCUUACUAUCGUCUUAAUUAUCUAAAGUGGUUUUUAUCCGAUUUGUGAUUUUAUGGAAAAUGAGUUAAAUGAUAAAUCUUUAUGUUUUGUAAUUAAAAUGUGAUUUAAUGAAAUGAUUUUAUAACAUUGUCUUGAAAUGAAAUGAAGGUUUGAAAAUAGAGUAAUUGGAGACUGUUUUCAUGUGUUGUAAAUUCAUGGUUUGAAUCAAAUGGCUAAUGACAAUAUUUGCAUGAAUGGUUGAAUUUGUAUUUGUGUUUAAAUAUAUGAACUAUGUAUUUAGCCUUGAAAGGCUAUGAAUUACAAUAAUUGCCAUAUCAUGUUGUUGGAAUUUUAUUGAUAAUUAUUAGCUUACUGUAGUGGGCCGGUUCCGUGGGCCAGCCUAUUAGAGGGGCAUGGUAACCCCGUUAUAUUCUUACCUUAGUAUGAGAGGUGCGGGUGGAUAACUCCUGAGGUUAACACUUUAGAGUUCACUUCACGCUAAACCACCACGUGAGGGUGAACUCAGCCAAUGCCAAGAACGGCUAUGUUUUCAAAAUAAAAACAUGAUUUAUGCGUACAUAACUUUUUAAAAGUCUUGGCAGACUCAAUUGGGAUAGCCCUCAAUCAAGGCAUCCCUGAUAACUACGUAUGAGAAUGAUUUUGGCACGAGCCAAAGUUUUAAGAAAUUCAUAAGCCAUGUUGAUUACUUGAUUUAUAUGAAUUGAUUUUAUUUGGUUGAAACAAGUUGAAAGGUGAUGAAUUUCAGUAUGUUAAACUGUUUUAUCUGUCUCCAUUGACUCAACUUUAGAUAUUUUAGAUGGUAAUUGUUUAUUCACUGGGAUUAUAUAAUCUCACCACCCUCAUUUCCACCCAUUUCAGGCUCAGGAUAGUCGGUCGAUAGCUCACUUUGUUGAGGGCUACAGUUGGACUUGCAUCCUAAAAAAUUGUAGGUUUACUGCUUUUAAUACUUUUGGUCGUUCGUGGGCCCACUUGU